GGGGCUUCCAUGUGGGUGGAGAGGGCAACACGUCCCCCUAGGCUGGCAGGUUGGUGCUGCGCGAGGAGAGUGGGCCGGUAGUGGGUGUGGCCCAGGAGCCCAGGCUGCCUACAGAGCUCUGGGAGACUCAGGGUGCGGGCUUGGCUGCAGCGUCGCGUGGGGUAGGAGGGGGCGUAAAGCCCGAGUGAUCUCAAAAAGGAGUGUGCAGACCUGAAAAUGUCAGGUUCUGCCUGUGGAGGGGUUGGCCCCAGGAAAGCAGUGUCUGCUGCUGGCAACCGCUUGCGUGUGUGUGUGUGUGUGUGUGUGUGUGUGUGUGUGUGUGUGUGUGGCCUGCGUGUUGAGCACAGGUUCUGUCCUUGCUAAGGAAUGAUUUGAUGCCUCAUUGAGUCCGACACCUCCGGGCCUGGCUGGAGGAUCCGCAAGGCGGGGUGGGGGGCGGUAGUGGUGGUGGUGGUGACAGCGAACCUGCUUCCCACUUGGCUUGACGAUAGCUUGCUCCUACCCCAUGGGUAGGGGAAUCCCGCAAGGUGCAGCGACUGCGGGUGGCUGGAGACUCGUAGCGUGGGCGGCACUGUGGUGGCCGCUGGCAAUGGCGGCCCCCGGCUAAGCCCCUCCUUCCCGGGAAGUGGAGCCUGGAGUAAGCCUGGGUGGACGCGGGCGGGUGGGGAUGGGCGCUCGGGUGGGGUGGGAGAGCUGCUGGAAGAGAAAUGCUAACAUCUACCUUUCCUGAAAGAGCCCGCAUAGCCCAAUUCGGCUGGGUGACAGCCCUGGGCCAGGCAAUCUCUUUUAAGGAAAUUCACAUGGACCAAUCAGGUUCUCUUGGCCUCCUGCCCUCUCUGCCGCAUUUUCUCCCCCUUUUCUGGUAGGAGGGAGCAGGGGCACGCUGUGUUUUCUUGGCAGCCAGUCAGCAGGGACUUUUGGGGACAGGCAGACCUGACGGAUGUGACUCUACUGGUCAGGAGAGGCGGGAAGCCAGAGAAGGGGAGGUGGUUUGGGGCCGGGGGUGGGGGAAAUGGCAACGGACCAGCUGACCUUUUUGGCACACACUUCUUGCUGACCCUAUCCCCACUUUCUCCUGGAGCUUUCUCUGAUCAGAAGUGAACGGUUCCACGCACUCCCAUAAUGCAGGAACCGAACUCAGGAGCAGAAAGCUAAUCCUAAGCAGACUUUCGGAACUCCAGGGCCAGAGCAGGCCGUCAGAGCAGAUGAGGCUCUGAGCCAGGCUGAUAAGCAUGCCCCUUGCCUCUGCUCUUGCUGGACGUUUUUGGGAGCUGACAGCUUUGAGGGAAGGCUGCGGGAGGAAGGCAGGUUUCCUUGGGUGCUCCCGGAUUGUCCCUGCUGGAAUUGGGAGCCCUGUUCCUUUUCUGUGUUAAUCCUAGGUUUUAUCCAGGGGGCUCUGAAUGGGGAUGGGCACCAUGGUGACCCCAUGAGGGUUUCCCCUUGGCCUGGGUACUGGGGCUCCUGAGGUGUGGUGGGUGGUAUAUGAGGGACAGGACAGUGAGUCGGAGUGUGACACACACCCUGAUGAGGAGGACCUGAGGAAUGAAUGGGAAGGAGGGGAGAUGCUGGGAUUGUUCACAGCUGGGCUGCUGCUCUGCCUUUGCCCAUCUGGCCUUCCAUUAGCAUUGUUGGAGGGCUGGCAGUGGGCAGGCUUGGGAAACGUGAUUCACUACCCUGUGCCCUGAAAAAUGUUCUCCAGCUUCUCUGUGAGGGGCCACCUCCUGUGCCCUGGAGACCUGGCUUCCCCUGGCCACCCGCCUAUGAGGCCCACCCCCCCCUUCCCCUCAGCCGACCCUGUAAACUGACCACAGUGCGGCGUGGGAGGGCUGCAGAGGGAGCAGCCUGCUCCUGGGUGGACUCUCCGGGGUACACUGCUUGCCCUGUCCUUGUUGGGGCCCACGAUUGCUGGGAGCUCUUCUCUGUCACAGGUGGCAGAGCCUUGUUCUCAAAACCUCCCUCUGACAUCAAAGUGACUUUGGCAAAAGUUCCUUUGCCUUCUUUGGACCAUAUCCCCACUCUCCUAUUGACAUGGUAAUCAUUCACCUGCUAGGAAGGACCCUUGCUAAUGGCUUUAGGACAGUGUCAGAUGUGCCCUCUGCUGGCUCACUGUUCUAGAGUCUAAUGUUUAUCAUUAGAAGACAUUCAGUGGCAAGUGGAUUUCAAUGGUGAGCUGACCUUAGGGGUCCUGCCUUAAUUCAGAAAAUUUUUGGCAGGAGGCUGGGUGUGCAGUGGCCACAGCCACAGGUUUUAAAGUCUUGUAGAUAUCACAGGUAUCUCUUAUGUCACUGGUUGGAUGACCUAGUCCAUUAAUCUCCCUGAGCCUCAGUGUUCCCAUCUGUAAAAAUGGGCACAGACAACUGGAAGAAUAUUUGUGAACAUUAAAAAUAAAAUGUGUGUUGUACAAUGUAAGGCAAACAAGGAACAAAUAAUCAAAUUAGUUACUUAUACUGCUGACCCAAGAGACAGAGCAUGCUGAAAUUAGUUCCCAUGGCCUCUAAGUGAGAAAAGACAUAACUUAUUCUCUCAAGUUCACCAGAAAGUGUCAGUCCGUUUCUUGGGAACGUCAGAGAGUGUGUCACAUGCCUCUUAGGAUCCCAGGUGCAGUGAGGUAGCAGUGUGACCACCUGCCAAGGGACCCUGCAGCCCAGGUGUGACACACCCACUGUCAGUGACAAUAGCCACACAAUAACAAUAAUGACAGCUACUCACAUGGCACUGCUACAUGCCAGGAAUUGCUCUAAGGGCUUUACAUAAAAUUACUUGUUCUCACAAUGAGAUAAGUGUGACUGUCCCCAUUUUACCCUCAAGGAAAUUGCAGCAGGGUGAUGUGGUAACCUUGUGAGCAGCAGAGGUAGCAUUAGAGAAUUAGAGCUUGGACAGUCUGGCUCUGGACACCACCCCCUUAGCCACAAUGCUGUGCAGAGAUAGCACAGAGACUGCCUGAUGACCUGUGGGCCUUCAUGCAUAGGAACACAGUGGUAACUACUGAGUUUGAUGGGUGUGGCAAGCAAUAUAUUGCAGCUUUCUCCACGCCCUGAGUGGCAGAGCAGGGAGCCCAGCCAGAUGGGCGCCAAGCCUGGGGGAUCUGCCUUCUUCUCCAACCUAAUAUGCUAGCAGAUCUGUAGGACAAAUGAGACAUGGGCUGGACUUUGGGGAUGUCACAGUCUGGUUGAGGAGGCAUAAUUUACGACGUGCCCAGUGGAGAACAACACAAAGAAGGCUCAGGGAUAUCCUUGGAGGUGGGAACUCAACGUGCUAGAAGGAAGGGAAGGAUCUCUUAGAGAAGGCAGGCCUUGGAGAUGGGCUUUGGAGAUAGGCAGGAGCGGCUAGUGAAGGAGGGGAAGAUUAAGAGCAGAAUCCUGCAGUGGUUCCCAGUGAGAGUGGAGGUCACUUCAUGCAACAAGUGUUUGCUCCUGAUCUUGAAUCUCUGUAUACAGAGGCGAAGAAAAGAAAGAACAAAGGCUUUGCAGUUGAAGGGGAGGACAUGCUGGUUUCCUAGGGGAUGGAGGGAAACUCUGGACAUACAGGGAAACAGUCCCCACAGCUUGUUUUCUUAGCCAGAAGCUCCCCUUAGCCCUCGACUUCUUUCCAUUUCCCCUCAAGCCUGCUCCCCAUCUCCAUCAAGUGUGAAAAGAUUUAAUUUAGCCAGCAAAGAGCUGUUAGGUGCAGCCCCAAUGCUGACCCUUCAGCCCCCUCCUUUGGAGGUACCCACACACCUGCAGCUGUUUCUCAGCCUUUUGUAGAGGAAACUGUGCUUGACAGCCACAUGUUUCUCCUGGGCCCCUUUCCUGGUGCUCAAGUGUCCUGGGCCUUCCCAACACCCACUGUGCAUAGUAGCGUCUGCUCUGUGCAGUGUGCACGAAUCAUGGCCAUGGGCUAAGAACUGGAGAACAACUCUGAACCCUCUACUGACCAAAUUCAGAUAAGGGACACCCCUGAGCUAUUUGAGGAGAAAGCUGGGCCUGUUUUUAAGAAGCAGUUGCAGGGGAGAAAAUUAUACAUGUAAUCCUUUGAUAUUUCCCCUUUGGAGGAGCUAGUGUUCAGCUUGCAAGUUUUUCCUUUAAAGAAGUAAUUAGAAGCACUCAAAAUGCUCUGCUAGUGUCUGGGAGUGUUUCAGAUGUUUAAAAAGAAAAGCUCGGUGAGGCCCCCGGGAAGAGUGCACGGCUACAACCUGUUACAACUUUGCCCCGUUUCGUUUUGAUUAGAAUCCUUGCCCCGUCAUCGAAGUUGACUAUGGAUUUGAUUAGUGGAUUUUUCUGCUAUUGUGUUUUUCGUGUUUUUCUUUUUCUCUGUUCACAGUGGGGCAUGUAUAGUGUGGUUAUCUGCCAACAUGCCAGAAUGUUUAUAGUUCACAUAUUAUUGCUUAUGCCAUGGGUUAAUUGUCUAAAGACACUCUAAGGGUGGUACUGGCGGCUUAUGCAGGGUAUCGUUAUGUGUGUAUAAGUUGGUGUAUAAAUACAUCUUCUGGGUAUGUGUGUAUGCACGUUUCUACACACAUACACAAACAUAUCCACAUGGAACAGUUUAAAGUAUUGAGCACAUGUAAGCAUAUGCACACAUCAAAGGCCAGGCUGGAUGAGCUACAGCCCAAAUUCUAGCUCUCAGAAUAGCUGUGUCUGCUUUCCGCUUCUCACAUGCUCUUCCUGCAUAACCAAGACUGAAAGCACCAAUCCCCGUGUCCACUUUAUUUACUUACAAGACAGGAGGGCUGUAGCCCUGAAGAGAGGUGUUUCUGUCAAGCCUCAGACAAUCUCCCAAAGCCAGCCUGGGGAAGCCAAACCACCCAGCAAGAUGCUGGCUUGCGGUCAGAAAUUUCUAUUUUUUAAAACCAGCCUCAGCAGCAGGGGAGCGAACACUUAUGAAGCAACCGUUAUGUAUCAGGUCAUCUGCGGUGCUUUUUAUAUGUUUAUUGUUUAAGACACAGGAAACAGAGUAAGAUGUGAAAUGGUUGAUGCAUUUUAUGCACGAGACUGAAGCCAAGGGAAAUUAUCACUUGGAGGCAGUUGUGCGCAGUAAAUUAGGCUUUCCUGAGAGACAGAUCUGCAUUCAAAUCCAGCCUUUGAACAAAUUUCUGACUAUCUCUAGACUUCAGGUUUUCAUGUGUGACCCAGAAUUGCUGACAUGUAUCGAUUGGCUCUGAGGAUUCAGUGAGAUAUUACAGGUAGAUUUCUGAGCCCAGAUGGCCCAUACAAAGCAAGGAGUAUGUGCUGUUACCUCUUUUUAUUAUCCACGGUCAGCUCCAAGCUUGGCAUAUGGGUCGCUCAUUUCAAGCCCACAUUCUUUCCAUCCUACCUCUGUGCCUCCGAGAUGCAUGGCUGAUUCCACGGAGGGACAGAAGGCUUUGCACUGUGAAAGAAGAGAGUGUCGUAGGGCUGUGGUAAAAUGCACGGGAGCCAGAGUAAAUGAAGAGUGAUGUCAUCCAAAGAAGUCAUAUCCAGAGUUGUUCACUGGGGUCUCUGUUUUGGUUCCUGUGAGACCACCUCUAUAACACUAACCAAGCUGAGGGAUCUGCUGUAAACUCCAUGUGUGGGAGGCCUCCUCUGUGUACUCACCUGAGCUGGUUUGGUUGAGGGCAGCUGCUCAAUCCAAUGGCCCAGACCCAAAAUGGAACAGUCCUGCUGCUUGGGCUUUGUAAUGGCUUCUUGCUGUUCUGAGGGCAGAAGGAAAGUGCUUUUCCCUCACAGCUGCUGUGAUUGUCUUGGGAGCUGGACCUUGUGACCACUUUGGACAUUCAGGUGCCCCAAGGCCUGGCCAGCUGCCCAGGGGUGUUUUACUAGUAGCCACAGGGCCCAUGUCAAUGGCUGCUCUGUCUUGUGAUCACGCUGGUCAAGGAAAUGGACAGUGUGUUCUUAGACUGUCUUGAGUAGAAUGGGCCCAUGUGAUUAUGGGAACAAAACCUGGUCAGGCUUUUGUGGUCCAGUCUGUAUGCCAGACAAUAGGGAGUGACUCAAAGGUUUUCACAGGAACCCCGAGACACCCACACAAAACCUCCCGAAUGACUCAUGACUCAGUGCCCCCUUUCUCAAGGAAAACAGACCCUCCCUUGUGUUUUGCAAACAGUGACCCCACAACCUCUGAAUAUUUCGUUUCUCCUUCCAUGUGAAACCUUAAUACCACCAAUGAAUUUGGAAUUGUUCCCCACUCCCCACCCCACCUUACUGGGAGAGAAGAUAGGGUGGAAGUGGAGGGUUGGUUGAGAUAAUUAUGAGGCUUCUUGGCCUUUGAAAAAUUCACUUACUCAUGGCAGAGUGGCACUAUACAUGUAUUUAUAAUAAUAGUCAUUGACACUGAUUGAACACAGCAGUCUACUGCAUAGCACUAGACCUGUGUCAUUUCACUUAAUCUGCACAGUGUCCCAUGAAGUAGGUGCUACUUCCUGUAAAGAACUAGAAAUGACAGCUCGGGGAGUCAAAAACUUUGUUUCUAGUUUGAUCUUCUGGGACCCUUUGCUGUGUGACCUUAAACAAGUCACAUUGUGUUCCUUGGCUUCUGGUUACUUCACUUAUAAAAUGAAGAUGAUGGUACCUUCUUUAUCCUCUUUGAAGAAUUAAUGUGAAGAUUAAUAGAGGCAAUUAUCAUGGACAAGACACUGGCUUAAGCAUUUUACUCUUCAUAUGCCCUAAAAUAAGGCUCAGAGAGAUUAAACUAUUAUCUUAAGUAGCACAGCUGGUAAGUAGGCUGCCCAGAAUUGGAAUCCCUGCCUCUUUGAUUACCUGAAUAGAUGUUCUUAAAUAGCUAGUGAGAGCACUUUGAAAAAAAUACCUGAAGAUGCAUUGUUAAUACUGAAUCAAAGUAAAUUUCUCUAAAAUUUCCUUUGGCUUCUUAUGCCACUUGACUGUUUCCAAACUCCUUCCCCUAGUGUUUGGAAAUGUUGAAAAUAUUCUUUUGAUAUUAAUAAUAUUAGUUGCUUAAUAAUGGUUAAAUCCUUCUGGUCCAAGUCUUCUGAGGCUUCAAGGCCCAUUAAGGGUUAUCACUGAGUAUAAUUGGCAAGAGUAGUUCUUGACAGAGAGCAGGAAAAAUGGAGAAUUGAUUCAAAUCAUUUGUUUGUGUGUGGAAGUGAGAAAUGUCUGAGCUAAUCCUUCCUUAGACCAUCAGCCUGGGAUCUUCACACCUGUCACUAUCAUGAAACACAUACAUAUACACACAUCAAAAGAUAGGUAAAGGAUUCUUCUAGAAAAGAGACCAAAGAGCUAUGGCAGCCACACCCAAUGAGAGUCCCACGACUACAUUACAUCCUGGAUAAGCAAAAAUAAAAAUGUUAGGAAGGCCAUUUUGGAGAUUUCUGCAUGUGGAGGGUUGCAUAUUUGAUAGUGUUGCUGGUGCAGUGUUAAUGGAGUUGAGAUUAUGUAAGAAAAUAGCCAUUCUUGGAGAGACUCACACAGGAAUAUUUAGAAGUAAAGUGUCUUGAUGUCUGUAACUAAUUCCAGAUAGUUUAGGUGAAAAUAAGGUGAGACUACCUGCGAGCUAAAGAGAAAUCAAAUGCCACAAAAUGUUAACAACUAGUGAACGUAGACGAGGAUACACAUGUACAAUCUUAAGAUUUUUUCUGAGUCUUGAAAUUUUUCAAAAUAAAGCAUUGGAAAAAAAUAAAGCCUGGGUAAAUGGUAAUUCUUACCAAAGUCCUUGGUAUAAUGUACCCAUGGGCACAUAAAUGAAAUAAUGUGUGUGUGUGUGUGUGUGUGUGUGUGUGUGUGUGUGUGUGUGUAUGAACUCACAGUAGCCUGGCCAGGUCUGUUUCACUAUGUUCAGGUUUCUUUCAUUCCUUUUUCUUCCAUGAGAAUGAUUGUAGACAUUCUGGGUAAUCACCAGAUCCAAUAUCAUUUGGUGAUCUUUUAUAAAUAUCUAAGCUUUUUCCAAGGUGAUAAGUGUAAACAAAACCCCCACAGAGCUCUAUGAGGCCAGAUACUGAAAGGGUAAGGAAUAUGAGUGGCAGGGAACUUUUCUCCACUUCGACCUUUUCCCUCUCCUUUCUUCUUUGGUCACUUUUGCCUGGUUAAAUCCUCCUACUUUUUACCUGUUCAAAGUCAGCCUUCUGUCACCAUCUCUAAGAAGCCUUCAGCUGUUGCCGUGAUCUGGAUACAGCGUCUCCCUGUGGCUCCCCAGCUUGGACUGUGAUUGCUUAGAUGAUUGAGCCAUGACUUCUGGGAGGUCUGGGAUAUGUUUCUCUUCAUCUCUGCUGACACAGGAUCUGCACAGGGUAGAAUUCUUUGUUAAUAUGCACAGAGGGGAAGAAGAGUGGAGCAGGACAGAAAAGAAAGACUUGGAAAGCAGGAGUGUGGAACUGGAGAUUGAGCAUAAACUGUGCUAUAGUUUGGGCUCAGAGGACCAUGUAUUAAAGACGUAGCCUCCAUCAAGCCUGGAGACCACUGCAGUCUUAAAGGUGGGAUGCAGCCCGAGGUCUUCAAAUCACUGAGGGUGUGUCCUUGAAGGGCACCGUGGAAUCCUGACUCCUUUUUCUUUCCCUCUUUUUGUGUCCUGUCCAUGUGGUAAGUGGCUUUGUUCUGCCACACACUGCUACUGUGAUGCACCUGUGAGGCUCUAAAAGCAACGAGGUCAGCCCUUCAUGGUCAAGAACCUUCAAAACUGUCUUUAUAAGUUGGUUAUCUUGCAACUAAUCAUGUCGCAGUGAUGGAGAACUCAGUAAUGCAAGCUGUGUUCAUAAAGCCUGGCCAAACUGGGUGGCUCCUGCAAAUCGCCCCCUGGGAAUGUGAACUGAGGAGGUUGCAUGACAGUGGUGAGACAGAGUUGCCAACCUGCAUGCUGGUGGAGGCCACUGUCUGAGCUCUCAGCACCAGUCUUCAGGACACUCCCCUGUCCGGCUGGGUAGAAGCAGAUAGACUAUUCAAGCCUAGCAACCAUGUCCAAACCAUCUGGUUGCUGCAGGGGCAUCUGGCUAUCAGCAAGUGAUGGCAGUAGCCUGAAGGAGCUUGGGCAGACCCCCCAGCUCCACCUUGAAAGGAGGGCCUAACGUGGGUUCUGUGGUUGCUUAGGAAAUCCUAGGGACAAAGCUUCCAGGAACAAUGAUCACAACCACCACUCACAUGCCAUUUCCAUAUUGCAUUCCUAUCAUGAAAUACUCAAUUCAGGCUACUUAAGAAGUAAAGAGAUUUCUCGAGUGCAGUUUUAGAAGCUAAAGAGCCAAACAGCCUGGCAUAGGCUCCUCAAAGGCCCCACCUUGGCUGUCACCUCGUGGCAGAUGGCGAUGGUGGGGACAUGUGCAAAAGUAAGCAUUCCCAAAUCCUGCUCACAGAUCUCAGAGCAAGUUUUCAGGGUCUGGCUUGGGCUGUUAUAACCUUACUCUCUGGAGCAAGUAGACUCCCGGAGAUUGGCGCCUGUUCUGAGACUACGCCCUGUGUGACCUAAGGACCUCCAGCUAGGGCCCAGCUCUUAGAGCCCCCAUUCCCACCACUUGGGGACCAGGCCUCUGACACAAGAAACUUUGUGGGGACACAAGCCAUCUCCAAACUGCAGCACAUACAUAAUCACACAUCAUCUUCACACUGACCUUCAGAGGCAAGGCUAGUGGUCUUGUCUUACCAAUAAGAAGAAAAACAGAUACAGGGUUCUGUUUGGAUCAUGCAUCAUGUUGAGGUCAGUGACAGGAUUUGAAUUCAGGUCUCUCCAAUUCUAGAUCUAUGUUCUUCACCACCUUCAGCCCUGCUCCUCAUGGAGCCUGCCCCUUGUUUUCUGGGUCUUGGCCCUGAGCACUCUUUGCCUCUUAGAACUAACCCUGCCUGUCACUGGCACUUUUUCGUAUGUACAAGGUGAGCUGUCUCAUCUAUCUUGUGGCCACAUCACACUGCUGUCUGGAUGCUGUCUUUGCCCACUGCUGGGACUGCUGUCCCUCAGGUCACCUUUGUGCUGCUGGCCACGCAGCUGGCAGGACCCCUUUCCAGUCGUGCCACGUAUUACUCUGUUGCAUCUCAACACACAGCCCCAUCACAUGCUGAUUCGCUUUGGUUGUCUUCAGAGCUGGGAGUGAUGCAUGUUUACAUCAAAACGCAUGUGCUGCGAGUGGCCCCAGACUUUCAGUGUGUGACCUUUGCUCCUUAGCUGUCUGUGGCCCAUAGAAGGCAAACCCUGGAGGGGAAAAAUUUCAGGUGACAAAACCAGAUAUGGAAUAGGCAGGUGUACUUGAGAUGUCUCCUCCAAGAUCUGUGCUCAAAGGACUAAGACUCCAGACACUUGAGCCAGAGGAUGCCUUUGAAGCCAUCUGUUCCCUUGGCUCCAGCGUGCAGAUGGGGUCCAUGGCUCAGGAUGGCACAAGAUUGCCCCUGAAGCCCCAGCCCUGAGGAGCAACCGGAGCCUAGGCUGGCAUCUUUUCCACCGCAUUCAAACAUCAGAGGUUCUCUGAAGGCCCUGAUGGGUUGAAAAAGAAUUAGAAUCAGCCCUAGGCUGCAUUCUUUUCCCUCCUAGCCGGUAGUCAGAGUGAGUAUUCUUAAUUCCUUCAUACUAGGAAGCAUCCUUAAGCUCAAAGGAUCAGAAAGCCAGGACUUGCGUGUUGGUGGCAUAAGUGUGACAAGUGGUCAUCAGUAAACACUUCCCAUGAAUCGGAUAUCAUCUCUUUACAUCCACACCGGAAGAAGACUGGGCAUUUCACUCAGCUCAUCUGUAGGGUCCAGAGGAGUCUUGUGGAUUGCAGGCUCACACUAUUUAUCCCCAGCCCUUGGACACCCCACCUGCUCAUCCCAAAGCUAGAAGUCAGGGAGACAUGGCUUAUCCUCUCUCCCCUUUCAUUUCCAGAGUGUCUAACUUCUAGAUAAUAGUGAGAACCAGGAUGUCAAGGGUACUCAAUAAAUAGUUGCUAAACUUCAGCUAUGCUUCCAUCAACCAUGCCUGGUCUUGGUUUCCCCAGGGGAAGUAGGAUAUUUUGAUGAGCAGUGCACACAGGAAAGCAGUUGGUGCAUGUAAAGGUGCCUGGAGUGGGGUAGAUCAGAUCACUGUUAUUUAUUUGAGUGCUUACUAACUAUUUUGUAGGAUUUUCCCCUGUGAUCCUUACAAAAGCAAUAAUCUCCAGGGUUGGGAUUUUUGUGAUGGUCUCCACUUUGCAAAUAAACUGAGGCAAGGAGACCCUAAACAACAUGCCUGCAUUUCCCACAUCUCCCAGGGAAGGAGUCAGGCUAGAAGCCUGGAUUCCAACCCACCACCUGGCCCUCCCUCUGCGCUAAUACCAGCCAGACCCACGCCUGGUUGCUGAUGGGGAAGAGAUGCACAGAGAGGUGAACAACGUGCCUGAGGUCCUGCAGGAAAUCCCAGCUAAGACUUGCCUUCUGCAGAGACCCAGGGCUCUACCUUUAUGGAGUGCCGUCUCUGCACUGAGGAAGGCAUGGUUAAGCCCCGGGAAGAGCUCCUCAAGUGCCGCAGGACUCCUUGACUUCCUUUCCCCUUGGCUUCUCCCUCCUUUGGAAUCAGUUCUUGUCUGGGUUGCAGAGUAGAAACCAAUAGAAAUUUGCCUUAGUCCCUAGAGCUGUUUACCUGGCUAAAAAUAUGCCAGCUUUGUGAUAUUUUUAGCUGCAUUUAGAUGUGAUGUAUACAAAUUGCCCACACCCAUGUGUGAGGCAUGAACUGUUGGUACAUUUUGUAACAGGAAGCUGCUGGUUUUCCAUUCCAGAGAACUGGAAUUCAGUCAGAAAUUUGUCAUUCCCAAAUACCGACUCUCACCACAUUCCACAGCUGUUUUUAAGAGCAUCUCGUCACCUGGGUUCGGAGGAAGCAGGCCAUGGGCGAGGCCAGGCUGGCCCAGCUGCCCUGCUGCAUUCUCCAGGUCUGGUGGCUUCCAGGUGACCUCUGCUUGGCUGUCCCCAAGCCUCUGUCUUUCCACAGUGUGUGUUGCCUUUGGAUUAGCCUAAGGGCAGACAGGGUGCUUAUUUUAGAACUGAAAAGAGAGGAGACAUAUCAAUAAAAAACCAGGGAAGGAAAAAAAUCCAUUCAGUGGUUUUAAAAUAUCUCUCCCUUAACAGGAUGGAUUAUUUUUGUUUCUUAAAAACAACUGGUAGUUUUCUCCUCGAAACAGUCGGAAAGAGAGGCAGAAAGAUUGUUCUAAAAAAAAGUAGAGGGUAUGAUGGUGGCCCCUAUCCAUCCCUGUUCACAUAGUACCAAUUCUUUACUGGAUGUUCCUUAUGAACAACAUGGGUGUGUGCAAAGCUGGGCCUACGGUGCCAGUCUGCUUCCUGUCCGAGGCUCCCACAAAUGCUGCCUUAAAACCUACAGGAAAUGCAUGGAGCAUCCCUUAAGAUGCCAAUAGGCCCUGAAUGCUGGCCCAUAGAGACGUUUUGUUUAUUUAGUGGGCUGGAGUCCUUAGCCAUGAGCAGAUUCUUACUAAAACCCAGGCUGGCUUGACAUGCUCGCAGUGCAGUGUGGAGAUGAGAAUUAGCUUGGCUGUCAGGCCCUGGUUCCGCAUUGUCUUCAGGGUUCCAUCUUUCUGUCCACUCUUUGGGAUGCAAGCACUUGUCCGUGAAAGCAUGGCCUGUGAACCAGCCUAGUGGCUUCCUGUGUCCUGUUGGAAAUGCAGGUUCUCAGGCUUCACCCCACAUCUCUUGAAUGUGAGUUUGCAUUUUAGUAAGACCCCUGCAUUCAAGGACUUCAGUGCCCUGCUCUGCCAGAUACUUGGGGCCAGUACAGGUGGCUUCUCUCAGGAGCUAGAGCCAAUUUCAUGGCAACCACCUCUCACCCUUCCCCAAAGGCAGGGCAGCCACUCCCACAGUCUGAAUGAAGCCCAGCUCCCACAGCCCUUUGUAAUAUGGAAAUCUCCUUUGGGUUUUUCUUGGGUCCCCAAAAUCCAGUUGUUUGCCGUUGUGAAGGAGGCAGGAUGCACCCAGGGUAGCAAGGGGAGGAGCUCAAUGUCUCUCCAUCUACUGCCCAAGAAGCUCUCGCCACGGGGCAGGUGCUCUGCAAAUGUAGGCUGUCUGCCUGCUGAACGUUCCUUUCCCUCAUGCUGUGGUUGAGUAUUGAUUUGGGGAAAGCCCAUUGGUAAGAGGAGGGCAGAUUUACUGAGCGGCUGAGCCAGGCUAUUUGGUGAAAUUGUCUGCUGCUGAUGUCGGAGGGUUUUUGCCUUGUUUUGUGCAAAUCAGGGUUAUUUAAAAGCUGUUCACAUGGUCACUGGUACCAUAGAAACCGCCUCGCUUUGUGCAUAGCCCUGUCUCAGCCAGGCAUGGGCCGCCACAGGUGCAGGAGGAGGGCAUGCUGCACUGAGGCAUCUCCAAAAGGAAGAAGCGUGGUGGAGAAAGCUUGGGAGUGGUUUUGCCACCUCCCUCCAGACCCCCUGGAGCUGUCUCAUUGCAGAGACCCCUCCAAACUACCUGAUGGAGGGGCCACUCCUCCGUCCCUCAAGUACAAACCUGGCCUUGAGUGAGGACAAUGACAUUGUCCUAGGACCAAAACCAAGAGGGGGUUUGUGUGUGUGAUGUGUUUGUGUAUGCAUGCAUGUGCACACAUGUUUAUGCACAUGUGUACAUGUCUUUGCAUAUGCAUGUGUGCAUGUUUGCACCUAUGGUCAUGUGUAUAUAUAUAUAUGUGUGUGUUUGUGUAUUUGUGUGUGUGCGCACUGUGUGUAUGGAUUUGGGCAUGCAUGCAUGUGUUUGCAUGUUCUUGUACAUGCAUGCAUAUGUAUAUGAAUUUGCAUGCAUGUUUAUGCAUGCAUGUCUAUGUGCAGGGAUUUACGUAUGUGUGCAUGUGUUUAAAUGCAUCUGUGUGCAUGUGUGUGUGUAUGUAUGCAUGUGUGCUCAUGUAUGCAUGCAAGUCUGUGCAUGUUUAUGCUUACCUGUGGUGUGUGUGGGUAUUUAUGCCUGCAUGUGUGCUUGUGAGAGUGUGUGUGUGCACAUGUGUGUUCAGAUGCUCUUUGAGAGGUUGCAGAAAUCCAUUUUGACCCCUGGUAGCCCCAUAGCAUGCCAGGCUGAAGGCACACUAUAUUCUUUUUUAUUUUUUAAAUUUUAUUUAAGGAGAACAAGAAAAAAAGGCAGAAAAAGUGUACGUCCUCUUUUUCUAGAGGCCUCUUUGACCCGGGGCCCUUGUCCAGGGCUCUUCACCAGCAGCUUGUGAUGUUGUGCAAAUGAUACUCAAGUCCAGAUGACUCUCUAGAAAGCCAGGCCUGGAGUGGGACUUCCACAUCCAUCUCUCUUGAGGGCCUCCAGGGGAUGCUGAAGCACUCACUGUGCUGUUUGCUGAAUUUGAGAGCAGCCCGCUCAGGACCCAGGACAUAGCAGCCAGGGAAACAGCAGUCACACUGACCAGGACUGGGCUUGCCUAGCUUAUAGCAGAAUGUCCCCAGGCGAGUGGGUAGGCUGCCCCUGCCUCCUCCUCCUCCCUGCGGGCCUCACAGGGCAGCUCUGCUCCUGAAAUGCUGUUGCAUGCAGGAGGCCUGUAGCAGGAGCCUGGCAUGGGAGAGGGCUCCAUUAAUGUCAGACCUCCAGGUGUGUGCUUCCUGCGGUGCCUGACUAUGGGCAUAGAAACUGUCAAGAAAGUUCAACGGCAGAGCACAAUCAAGAAAUGAGACAGCAGUGCUCAGUGAUACGUGUAAUUUUGCAAUAAAGAAAUGAUUAGUUCAUUUUUUCAAGACAUCUUACCAAGGAAGGACAAGUGCAGAGAAAGGUCCCAGGGGGCCAGAAAGAGCAGCAGGAAAAAGGUGCCUUUGCUUCCUGCCAGGGCUCCUUGAGCUCCAGCGCGCUUCCUCUUACCUGGGGAGCCUGGUGGAGUGUAUACACUGCAUCCUGAGCCCGCCUCUGAGACUCUGAUUUUGCAGAUCAGGGAUGAGGCCCCCAAAUUCAUCUUCCUGACAGUGAUGAUCAGGUGGCUGUACAGAAGGCAAUCAGAAGCCCCGGCUGUGAUGGAUCCUAGGCCAGUGGGGAUUGAUCACAUGGGGAGACCCAGGGAAGAUGGGGCUGGAUGACUCUGGGCCUGCAGGGAAAGGGUCCUGCAUGAAGCUGGAGAGGCUGGGUUUACCUGUGUUGGAGCCAGAGGAAACUGGGCAGCACAUUUGGGAUCUAGGCUGAGGAACAGAUGGUGGAAAGGCUUGGUGACAGGAAGCCCUGGCUCUCCCUCCUGCCCCUGUGAGCUGGCUUGCCAGGUAGGGUGGACACUACACAGACGCCAGCCAUGAGACAGGACUCACUGUGACUCCAGAUGAAGUGUGUAUGUCCCACUGAAAGCCCGAACCAACAGGCUUGAGUUUGCCUAUCAGUGCAGCUGGAGUUUAGCAUCUCUUUCUAUGUUCACUGAGACAUCAGGAUGUGUGGAUUGUUGUCCACAUACUCCACUGAAAAGGAGGAAGAGAAGAAGCAGAGGAAGGAGAAAGAAGCUGGAAUGCGGUACACGCCUGCAAACCUAGCACUAGGCGACUGAGCAGGAGGAUCCCUGUGAGUUACCUAGUGAGACCCUAUGUCACAAAACAGAUGAACAAACAGCAAAAAGGAGGAGAGAAAAGGGAAGAAGAGUAGAAAGGCUUAGGCUCAAUCUGGGACGAGAGACCACGGAGAAAGAUUUAGGAAAUGGGGUGUGCUCUUCUAUGUUUGAGUGUUCCCCUGAGCUCACAGAGCUGCAGCUGGCAUCUUGAGUCUGCAGGGGACCUGCGUCCCUGGAUAAAGGGACACGAGUUGCAGUGGCCUUCAUCCUGCGGCUUGUGCCAAAGGAGAGCAAGUUUUGGAAGGUCUUUGAGGGUCAGAUAGAGUUAGAAAAAGAGAGGUGGGACAGGAACCCCUGUUCAGACCUCUGGUACACAGGCUUCAGGCUCAGGUGUGCUGAUGCCUCUUGUCCGGCCUUGCUUCUUGGGUUGAAGCCAUGAUCUGUUUUCCAGAUGAAGAAUGAGAAGCCCAGAGAGGUGAGGUGAUUUGCACCUUCCCAUGCAGCCAGGCCAUGGCAGAGCCGGGCUCAGGCUUCCUGCAAAUCAGCCUCAGUUCCCCUGUGAGCGUGAUGGUGACUUUGCUUCUUUAUCAGGGCUUGUGGGCACUGUGCCCUGGAGCCCAGGACUUGAGGGGCAUUUCUGUGCCCUCUGUUGACAAUCCAGCCUUCAGUGUCAUUGCCCUGGCUGCCAGCUGCUGUCCCCACAGCCAGACCCCCACCCACACUGGCGAAGGCUUCAGCCCAGGGCGUUCUGGGGUGGGAGGAGGAAGUGCCCCCCGGGGGGGUUGUUCUGGUGCCCUGAAUGGCCCCAUUGAGGUGGCCUGGGCCUGGUGACAAUGAGCCUGUUGGGGCCCUCACUCCAUUGAGACCAGAGGGCCAGGGCUGGGCAGUCAGUGCUGGCUCAGAGAGUAAAUGCUGACUUCCAGGGCAGGCUGCCAGCACCUCUGACGCGCUCUGAAAUGUCAGCUCUGCCUAAUGGGUGCAGUCGGGUGGGCUCUGCAUUCCUGCCUAUGCCAAGAGGGCGGAGGGGACCCAGUACCCCGGGACCAGUGCCCCAGACCUCACUUGCUGCUGUCCCUCUUCGCUGCUGGGCCUGCUCACCCUCGCUGAACACACCCUUCUUGCUGGACACCUACAACAAUGCUUAGUCUUUCGUGGUGUCCCCUGAUCCCCAGGGACAUCCUUUUCAGGCUUUUUGGAGACACGACAUGCUCUCCCCAGUAGCUUAGGACACCCACAGACAGGGAUGUUAGAUAGAACCCAAGGCACAUGAUUCAAUUUGAAUGUCAGAUAUGUGAUGAAUAAUUUUUAAAUUAUGUUUAUGUCUGUGACAAAUAUUGAUAAAUGUCAAAGCUGGAACCAAGAUAUGGGUUCAUUGAUCCAAGCAUCCUGGAGCACAUUUGCACUAAAAAUUAUUUAUCAUUUAUCAGGAAUUCAUAUGGCACUGGGCACCGUCAAUUCUUAUUUACUAAAUCUGUCAGCCAUGUUGGACACCCAAGGCAGAACACUCGGGUGCUGUGGGUUUUCCUGAGGCCACUGAGGUACCAUAGGGCACGGGGAGGAGGGGGCUUUGCCUGCAUCUUCUCUCCAACCUUGACUGCCUAUUACAUAAAAUAAUGGGGCUGCCCUUAGGGGGAGCUUCCUAAAAGGCAUCUGUUGCUCACCUUGUUACUACCUAUGGCACCCUGCUUCUAGGGGCUGUGUCCUUCUAUCCAGUUCCUGUGCUGGGGGCAGGGGGGAUGCAGCUCUAGCCAGGGACCUCUUCUGAUCAUGCGUGUAUCACAGUGGUAGAAAUGGGUCCCAGGGCUCAAGGGAACACACUGGCUGGUUAGCAGGGGAAGCAAGCAUUUGGGCAAAAGAGCCACUGUGAUCCCAGAGAGCAGACGCCCUUCAGGGGUGCGGGAAGGCUUUGAGGGCUCUCACCAUAGAACCAGAGGGAGGGUCUUGGAGUCGGGGGAUGCAACAGGAAACCUGGGCCAUGUCACUGAGCUGACUGCAUGUGUGGCCCCAGGCAAGACCCUGAGCUUACAGCUUUGCUUUUCCUCCUGUAAAGUGGAAGUAAUAUUUCUUGCCUGUGGGAAUCCGGUGAGAUGCUAAGUACUUGUGCCCAUCGUGUAUUGCCAGUUGUAGGGUUCUAGAUGCAAUGAGUGUGUGUGUGUGUGUGUGUGUGUGUGUGUGUGUGUGUAUACACAUAGAAGAGGGGAAGGAGCUGAAGAGAAAGAACCAUGGCCCUGGACCUAGGGGGUCCCAUCCCAUAUAACCUUUUGCUGUUUGUAAGUGAUAAUAGCUGGAGAGGCAAAUGGCUCAGGUUCAAGCCCUAUCUUCACUGUAUGACCUCUUCUGCCUGUUUCCUUCUCUGUGAAAUGGGGCCUCCUGGGUGUGACUGAGAAAAUGAACAGAGACCAUGUGUGUCUGCACCAAGUGCUUGGUGUGGAGCCUGGCACAUGGCAAUGCGCAGAAGUGGGCAGCUUCUUAAAGGGUCUUAGUGAGCCUACCAGGCUCAUGAGUGCUAAUUAUCAGGUGGAAUGCCAAGGUCAGAGAGGGUAAGAACUGGCCCACACAGGGGCAGCAGAAGAGAGUAUAGCCUUUCUCAGGAUGCCUUUGGCCACCUGUCUUCAGGGAACUUUGCUUCUGGAUUUCAGCCGAACACCUCUGGGGAACACCUGGACUCAGGGGUGCAGCUGUGUUUUUGUGCAGAUGUGUGGUGUCCUGAAGACCUUGGCUUCCCUGUCUAUGUCAUGCCCAUCCCAUCCCCACCUGUCCUCCAAGUCAGGGAAAAGGACCUUCUUUUGGAAUCUAAGGCUCACACACCUCACACUUGCUGCUGGGUUUGAAGUCUGAGGGUUUUAUUGCCCUUUUAAACCUUUUUGUUACUGAUGCCUGCGUGGUUGUGCUGUUAGCAUGGAUACUCGUUGUAUUGCCUUGAACACAAAAGCAGUUUUGAGAGAAGGGGUGUAUUUCUGGGGAGAGGCUAAGAUGGGCCAUCUGCCACCACCCUGUGGGGCACCUUACUAACCUGUUCUUCAGUGGCCCCAGAGGGCCAAGGGGUGGGCUGGGUGCUGGCCCUGACUGACCAUGCUGGGUGCUUGUAUCAGAAAGAAGGUCAAGGGUGCUCCUUCCGCUGCUCUCUGAGCUUAAGCCUUAGACCCAUUUGGCAGAUGAGUAAAAUGAGACAGAGGUUUGUUGGUUUUACCUGGGUCCUAUGACUAGUACAUAGCACCGUUUUUGGGGGGCGGGGUGGGGUUGGUUUGUAGUAUAUAUUGGGUGUAACACCCUCCCCCCACUUGAAUGAUAGAACUGUCCCAUGCCACCUAAUAGGAGAGGCAUGCAUGUACCACCAGUGGUUCACAGGCACUGGGCAAUGAGAUAUGAGAAAUUAUAGCCCCAUCAUGAAUGUAUUAAACUUGUGAUACUCUUGACUCAGCCUCCGUGAGUGCUGUGAUUAUAGGCAUGCGCCACAGAACCUGGCUACAGCACUGGGUUUUGAGUGCAAAUCUCUCUGGCUUUGCUGUCAUUCAGGUACCGAGGUCUGCAUGUUUUAGAGGAAACUGAAACCACAGACGGCACAUGCUUGCCUUCAAGGCUCCAGGGGAAGACAUAAGCUACUACCUGCCACCUGCUGUCAUUGGUGUCCAACUUCAGAACACAGGGCUGAGGCUUGCGGGGAGAUCAAGCUUUCAGAGCUUACCUCUUUCCUUAAAAGGCAGAAAGGGAUUUAGAUACACAGGAGAGAAAGAGGGUUUUCCAGGGCCAGAAGCACUGGUCAAGAGGUGGCCAACAGGACUAAACUUGGCUGUGGUGUGGGGAAGGAGGACACUAAGGAGUCUCGCUCUCCCCAGAGACACACAGAAAGGUGACGCUGCACACAGGAGGCUGGAGGCUGGAGGAGGAGGGCCCAGGAGGCCAGGCAGGGACAUUUGGUCUCCAUCCCAGAAAGCGGGGAGCCAUGAUGGAAUUCGGAGCAGGGGAGGGCAAGCCGAAAAUAGUGCCCAUGAGAUUCUCAAGAAACUCGAAAGCUCAGGGCCUGGAGGCCUCCCUGGGGGUUGCUGGUGGUGAUGGGAGAGCCCUGCAGAUCACGGCCAGCGUGCAGGGGUGAUUACUGUGUACCAGCACUUUGCUGAGGAUUUUACAUGUAUAAACUUGUUUAAGACUUGCAACAGUCUUGUAGGGAACAUUAUAAACCCUGUUUUACAGAUGGGGAAACUGAGUCUCCAGGUAGUAAUAGGACCUGAAAUAGGGGCGGGCAUUGAAACUGAAUAGGAAGAAUCAGAUCCGAGGGUCAUUGAAGGCACUGGCAGUGUAGCUCAGCGGCAGAGUGCUCAUGCGCAGGGCCCUGAGUUCUACCACCAAAACCCCCAAAUGUCAUUGGAGAAGGAGGGCUGGGCUAGAGCUUGGCUGGGAAGAGGAUGAAGGGAUGGGAGGGUCUUCAGUAACUCCAAAAUGGGAGCCAGUUUCCUGGUAGUGAGGGUUGAUGAAACUUUGACCCAGAUGCCAAAGGUAGACUCGUGAUUAUGUGAAUGCUCUGUUAAGAUGGACCUGUGAUACUGGUGGAAGGCGGAAUCCUUGAGCCCCAGCCAGCUACAGGUCCUCACCACAGCCCUAGAUGGAGAGGAUGAUGGCCUUCGGGGUCAGCUUGGCAAAGGCAGGGCCUGCUGGCCCGCCCGUCACCAGGUACCCCUGGCCCCUGUCCUAAGCCAAUGUAAAGCAGCCAAUGCUCAAGCCCAUGUUCCAACACAAGUCCCACUUAACAGAGAUUUCCAGAAGCUUGGCUGAUGAAGUUUGGAUUAUGAGUGGUGAUAGCCCCACUGGAUGGAAAAGGAUAUGAAUGGUCACCGCCCCGCCCCAUAGACCUCACCUCCAUACCCCAGGGCCUGGAGCCUGUAGUCGGUGACACACCAGCUCUCCAGCAGUUGACCAAGCCAGAACUCAAUCCAGACCUCAGACCACUUUGCUGCAUGCUCUUGGAUGAGUCAUUUCACUUCCCCAUCCUUUCCGUCUCGUUGUAAGCUGGGGAUGCUGGAAUACCCUCCUUGACUCGUCCAGGUGAAGGAAUCAAGAGAAGGCCUCCGAUGUGCUUAAUGUAGGGUCCCACACCUAGUAGUGCUCAUUUGGGUGAGCUGCAUUUGUUGCCCCAGUCCCACUCGGGUCUGAGACUUCCAUAGGGGCUUUGGACCAAGCCUGGGACUGGACAGCCCAGCACUGCUCCUUACAGGCUGCCCAUGAGCUUAGCCUGGGCUCUUGCUUGCUCUCUCUCUCUCUCUGGCAUUCUUGGCCAGAUGCAUGGUAGGGGUCAGGUUCAGCCCAGCCCUAGAGCAUCCCUCUUCCUCUGGCACUGUAGAGGGCUCUUCAAGCAAUUCCUUCCUACUCCCCAGCAUUCUGCAUCAGAGGCAUGAAGCACUCUGGCCAAUACUCCUUGAGGACCGACUAAGUGCCAGGCACUGGACUAGUGAAUCCAGUCCUCACAGCUAUUCCAUAAAAAGCCUUGUCAUGAACCCUUCUUAUACAGGAUUAAAUCGAGGCCCCAGGAGUCUAAGUCUCUUCCUUGGAAUUCUACAGUGAUAGCUGAGCCAGGGCUUGAACCCCUAACCUCCGUGCCAUUCUGAACAAAGGAGACGGAAGCCAUUCUUCGUGCACUAGGCAUGCGUUUUGAUAACCUGCCGACAGCCCGGUUUUGCUGCUUCUCUGAGUACAAGGGAAAAGAGCCAUCUGUCGGAUGCUUUUUUGAGGGAGCGGGUGAGACUGUUUCAGGGUAAAAUGCAGAGAAAUAGCAUCACUUUUUUUUUCCUGUCGUGGUAAAAAUAACCUGCAGGGAUGGGAAGAACAAAUGGCAGUUGGGAGGCUGGCACAGGGGGGAGGUAGAAGCUGGUGUGCUGGGGCUGUCCUGUGCUGCAGGGGGCCACAGCAAUGCCACCUGCAAGGCCACCACCAUCGCCAUCGGCCUGCAGAAGUACAGGGUCUCCCCCAGAGGGCUUGGGGCCCAGGGAAGCUCAAAGGGUAGAGGGGACCCCUAGAGGAUGCGGGCGACAGUUCAGCUCAUGUCCCCACCCAGGAUGUGGCUGUGCCCAGGUGUGCCACCCCCUGUGUCAGCCACCUCCAGAAAGAAACCGGGCAGAGCCUUGGAUUGUGAGAUAUUUUUUUAAAGAUUAAAAAAAAAAAAACCUGAAAGUAGUUGGAGAAGUUGAGAUUAUGUUAAUUUAUGCAGUUUCCACUGCUGCAAGGAUUAAAAUAGCUUCCUUUCCAGAAAACCAGAGAUGCUGACUAUCCGUCUGCCUGCUUGUUAGGUUCUGGGGACAGGACAGGUCAUAGAUGAUGAAAACCAUGGUGUGAGGCCCAGACCUGGGCUGUGUUCAGGUGGCAGUCUUCCCCUGCUCAUGUCAUAGAACUUUCCUCUGAGUCCCUGUGACUCAGCCAGCUCGUCUCUGCACGUCACCGUUCAGUCCUGGCCUCCUGCGUCCCGUUGGCUCUGUGCUGGGUGUGCUAGGCAGACACACUGAUUAUUCGGAGGUCAGUUUCAGGUUUAAUAGUCAUCCUUUGUUGACAGCCUGGUGAGGGCUAGGAUUUUCAGGGUGAGACUCUUCGAGAUCUCUGAGAGUAAGAAGACCGGGAAAUGACAUUUAUAUGAUCCAUUGUACAGAAGGGAUUGCUGGGGGCUCCUGGGUAGAAUUGACUUGCUAAGAAUUAGAGAGCUAAGUGGCAGCAGGGCUGGGACUUGGGACAGAUGUCUACAUUCAUCAUCAUUUUGUCAGCCUGCCUUCCCCAGCCAUCUGGAGUCAGAACUCAAAAUGUGAGUAAUUAGGGAAGAUUGGGGGCCUUCAAAACACUGUCCUAGCUCUCCUAUCCUGUAGUGCCCAUGCUUCCCAGGGGACAGGAAAGGCACUUAUCAAAUGUCACCUGUCUGGUAAAACGCAGAGCCAGAAUUCAAACUCAGAUCCCCACCCCGCAAAGCCUAGACUUGCAAGAAAUCAUCAUCUCUUCCGAGCUGUGCUGUUGGAAAUGUUGAUUACAGCUGUCAUGACCAUAAUGUUACCUUUAGGGUAGCGUAGGCAGGGAACCCCCACCCCAAUAUAAACAGGGCAUCUGGAAAAUACUUUUCAAGGUGCACCUAUCUAAAUAUAAAACACUUCUUGCCAAAUGUCAAGGAGCCAGCACCGUGUCAGUGGACCAAGGUGACAGUCCGCGGGAGAGCUACCAGGAGACCUGUUCUCCUGCUCCCCUGUAUCAGGACCCAGCCAGAGAACCCAAGGCCACACCAGAGCAACUCAAAGUGUCUGGGUGACACCACGAAUGGGCAGUUCAGACAGGGCAUUGAAGGAGAGCUGAGGACAGGAACGCCGUCGGUGUAGGUCAGAUUUGGGGACAUCUGGGGAUGUCCCAGGCUGGGAGGAGAUUUAUAAGAAGUUGAAAAAGACUCAAUUUCAAGGACAAAAAUGACCAUGGAAAUAAGAAAAAAUAAAUGAAGAAGAGAGCACAGCUAGAUGUGUACCAGGCUGUGGGUGGGGGCAGGGCGAAUAAGGUAAGAAUCGCAGCUUUUGGGGAUCUUGCAGCCUGCAGGGGGAAGCCAGGCAUUAACCACAUCAUCACAGGAGGAGGAAGGGAAAGGGAAGCAGGGAGGGGCUGUCUAUCUGUAGACAUGCAUGGCAGGGAAACAGGCUGGGAAGUGGUAUCACCUGGUGAUCGCGGGCGUCGGGGUCACCGAGCGUGAAUUUCAGAACCAUCCUCGCUUCUUCUUAGCUCCAUGACUCUGGGCCGGGACCUUACACUCUAACCUCAGUUUUCUCAUCUCAGAAGCACUGACAAACCUGCCCGCCUGGUCAGGGCAGGGGCUGGAGAGGGUUAAAUAAAAUCCAGCAAGGGAUGCAGUUAGCCCAAUGCGUCGUGAUGAUUGCAAGUGAUUAUCUGACUUCUGAGACCUGAACAGAUCUGAAGGAGCCAGUGGGAAGGGCUGGGAUGAGCAGGUGCUGUGGAUGCCUGAUGGUGGCACUUCUGACCAUCAGAUAGCUAAGAAGAGGGGCCUGAGCGCUGCUGCCCCAGCGGCCCUUGGAGCAGUUGGUGCUGGCUGUGUUGCCCAUGCCUCUGGUUGUGAGAAGGUGUGAAGACAGAAGAUAAAGCUCUGAAGAUCAAAAGGCUAAAACGGAAGUUUGGAUGCUUCUAACAGGGAGCUUCGGUUUUCUGGAAACUUCCAUGGUGGAAGAAGAGCUCCUUUGAGCUUGAGAAUCUUUCAGCCUCUUCUGCCCCUUCUGUGCCAGCCAGGGCACUUUCCACCCAUUAUGGCACAACCCAGGCAGGGCAGGGCCACCAGACACCUAUCUGCUGAGGAACCUGGAAGCCCGUCCACCUUGCCGGGCUGCAUUUCCAGUUUGCGAGAUGUAGAUUUUUAAUGUGAGUGACAGAUGAGGGAGAGGCACAUCCGGCAGAUGAAAGAUAGCUCCAUCUGCGUGGGUCUGGAGAAAAGAUGGAGAUCAGAGAGGGAUGCUGAUGGCUUUUCCUAAAGAGAAACUUGCGGGUGGGUUUUUCAAGGAGAAAGCAGCAUUGACAGAGAACACAGGUUCCCAGAUUGGUACUUGAGGGCAGACCCCAGAGGGGAAGUUGGCAGAGGUGGCUUGUUCCCGAUGGAGACCAGGGAGGGCAAUUCCUGGCCACUCUGAGGGAGCGUGGUCCCUGUCCUCAGGAGAAGCCACUCAGGUUUCAGCGCACAGGCUCUUACAAGGUGCUGCUCUGCAGUGGACACAAGAGGAGGACUCUCCUGCCAUGUGGGGCCCCUCCCAAGGCCCUGCAACAGGGCAGGGUGUCCCUGGACUCCCCUGGCAGCUGGUACUGCGGGAUAUGCCCCUGCCACCCAUCCCAUCAGUUUCUGUUGGGAGAAGGGGAGGCAGCGAGGGGGAACACACAGCUCAUAGCAGAAGGAGCCAUGCAGGUGCACCGAAUGUAAAUAAAUCUCGCCCUCUUCCUUGGGGUCAUCCUCCUUGAUUUACAAAGUCUAAAGUCAUUUUUUGACCAUUCAGAGGUACCAGGUUCUCUGUGAGACUCUUUGCGUGUUCAUUUACUGUUCACGGCAAUUUCAGUGUGCUCAUUUUAUUGUUUUAAUGAGACAGGGGUAAGUACACAGGAAAGAGUGCGGGGGAUUCAAACUCAGAUCUGUUCCCCUCUUAAUUUCUGCUUUAUAAGUUAUACUAGGAUCCUAAAUCCUUCUGUUUUUGUUUGUUUCAAGACCUGGUCUCACUAUGCAGUUCAGGCUGGCUUUGAACUUACUUAUGUAGCCCAGACUGGCCUUGACCUCUCAGUGAUCCUCCUGCCUCAGCCUCCCAAGUGCUGGGAUUACAAGUGUGCACCACAACACUUUUCAUUCAACAAUGCUCUGUUUGCCACUGUCCUCACUACCUCAAGUUGUUUGCCCCCUGGCCAGCAGCUUGGACCCUCGAGGAAUAUAAGUUUUGCUUGUCAGUGAGCGAGGAGUGUGGGAUGGGUUUGGGGAUACCUGAGAAAAGACUUCAGCUCUUUGGUCCCUCUGAAGUGGGGAGAAGAAGAUGGCAGUUCCAGACGCACCCAAACUGAGCCAAGGAACAGUACCAGAGCCCUGGAAAGAUCUAAGCUUUGGGCUUAGAAUCAGUACUCAGGAAUCUGAGUUUCAUACGGUCCCUAAAGGGGACUUUGAAGAGGGAAAUGCACUGGUCCUGGUUGGUGGCUCAGGAGAGGAGAAAGGUCCCGUGCUCAUCAGAGCUGCAAGCAGACACCUGCUGCGGGGCAGCAGUGAGGCUAGAGGGCAUUGCUGGCACUUUGUGAUCUGGGAUCACCUACUACAGAGCCUGAAGCGAGGUGGCAGGAGAGACGAGUGCCUGCGGGAGUUUCAGCGCAGUAAAAUGUCCAUGGAGGAUGAAUCCAUGGCAGACUACGAAUCUGCAGCGGGUCUUGAAGUUUGAGGGGUUUGUUCCAAAGAAGUAGGUAAAUAGCAUUCUAGGCAGAGGGGAUAUCGUAAGGGGAAAGAACAGAGUUCGGAAAACAUGGUGAACACCUUCAGGAAGGAGAUUUACUCCCGAGCUGGAGACCACCGUGGGGAAGAGUGUGGUACCAGAACAGAACCGCAGAGAGCAUUUGAUUUAGUGGCCCAGGCAGUAACCGUAGCAAACAUUUGUUGAGCACCUGUUACCCAUCUCCAUGCUUUGGGCAUGUUUCACAUAUUGUUGCCUGCAGUUCUCGAGAAAAGCCUCUAAACCUUUACUAAUUAGGAAACUGGCGCCAAGCAUUGAUUGUCACGUUCCGGGUUGCCCGGCUGGCAACUCAGGCAUCCUGGCCCCAGAGCCCAAGCUCCUAACCUCGUGUCUGUGCUGUUUCCAGCAGCAGCCAUCAGUCUGGGAGGGAAGUGAGACCCGACAGCCUCCAUUGGCUCCUCUGUGACACUGGCUAACAUCUCUUCAUCGGGAAAUAAAGGUGGUGUGUGCAGAACACACAGCCAGUGCCCAAUAAAUGGCCAGACUGAACACAGAAUUCGCUUCACAGUGCUCAUUACCAGAGUCCAGGAUCGGGGACACCUGGCACCCUCGCUGUGGUGCUCCAGGGAGGAUGCUGAGGCUAGCAUGCAUGCCCCCUGGCUGCACCUCGAGCUGGUUCCCUCCACCGAGGCCUGGCCUGGUUUCCAGCCUUCCCAUUACUAGAUAAUGAGAACAGUCACCCUUUACCCUCCUGCCCAAGACGGCAGAGAAUCAAGAAGACUCCUCACUUGCCCAUCCACCCAAUCCACACAUGAGUGAGAAGCCAGGGCAGACAGGUUCCUGUUCUGGCCUCCCCUUGGCCACCUCUCUGGAAGCAGUAUCUGCUAGUGCCACCCUGUGGCGUUUCACAGCAAUGCAUGCACAGAGGCUGCCGCAGUGUCUCCUUUAAGGCGCUUGGCAUGCCUGAGAAUGCAGAGUUCAAUUCAGUUAAGCGCAAAAGUGCGAUCAGAAAGAGGAAAGUAGCAAGAUUUGGAAGGGAAAGUGCCAUGAGAAGAGUCCUGUAGCCUCUGUUCAAAUCCUGCCCACCCAUCUGGGACGACAGACACAUGACAGAACUUCGUGAGCCCGUUUCUUGUGACAGUUGUCCACGUCUCCCCAGAGAUGUGAGGCUCCCGUGAAAGGCUUCAUAGAGUGCAACCCCCUGAUGCAGGAGGUGAAGAUUAUUGUGGUUGCAAGAGCGGGUGAGGUCAGUACUUCCGGGCCUGCAAGUCGGGUUCUGGCCUAUUGUAACCCCCACUGCUCAAGCCCAUCAAGGACUGGGGACAGGUGCAGACUUUGGGUACUCCCUCUUUGCUGGCCCCAAAUGUCUUCCAUGUGGGUGAAAUGCUGGGAUCUCACCCCUGCUGGUCCUCCCUUGCCUGCAGCCUCCUUGCACAAGGUACCUUCUGGUGACAUUGCUCUGUGCCUGCCACAAUUGUUUCUGAGCCCGUGCCUGUGUUUCCUCAAAGGACAGAAGUCUAGGUCUCACUAAGGGACAGAAUGCCGGACUGCCAGGUGAAGCCUUGCCCCAGGGCUGGACAUGGCCGAGAGCUGAGUCUGCAGGCCCAGGAAUGUGCUGGCUGGACACACAGCAUUUGCUCUUCCCUUCUGCUGCUGGACACAGAGCCCCAUGUUUGCGCCAGGCAGUUUUCCUAGUGGCUUCUCACCAUCCUGCUCUGGCAGUGUCUGGACUGAUCCAGCCCAAGGAGCCCCGAGGGUCUGUUGCCACAUUGGCUGUGGCCCAUUUGGGUCCAGCGGGGUCCUCCCAGCCUCAGGUCCUAAUGCCAUGCACAUCCCACAGGUCCCAAGGGCUGCCUCGCCCAUGACACCCUCUCCUCCUUUGGGGGCUCCAGAUGCAGUUGGUUUCGUGGAGCACCUAGUGUUAUGUGAGGUACGGGAUAUCCUUCUGGAGCCCAUCUCAUUUCUUCCUCCAGGCAGCCCCAGAAGGGUGCUGUGACGGUUCCCAUAUUACAGGUGAGGGAACUGGGGUGUUUGGAGGUUUGCUCAUUUUGUGAGCUGCAGGCUUGGUUUCAAACCCCAACUUCUGCCUCAGGGCUGGUGUCUGCUCACCGCCCCAGACACCCAGGCAGGUGCUCACUCCCCUGAGCCAGCUGCAGGCUCCCACAUCAUCAUCUCCCUGCCCCGAAUUCUUCCAAGGUGCUGGGCCCUCCCUUGGGGACCCCACGGAGACAGAGAGAGCAGAGUGCUGAGGGUGGAGGAGCGCAGGCCCCGAAGUGGCCUUUAAGGUUCUCUUUUCCCUCAGGAUUUCCAUUAGUAAUCUUAAUUCAAAGGUAAGAGACACAAAAAGCUUUUCAAAAGAUUUAUAACCAGGGUAUAAAACCAGUAACCUCAUUUUCCCUCCUUCCUAUUGUCGCAGCAGUUCACCUCUAUGAACAGUUGUUUUGUACCAUUUCGGGAACUUUUGUACAAGAACAAGCAUAUUGAGGUCCUCCCCUGGGUGGGUGUCACUUGUUGUCCCCUGGAGGCCUCUUUCCUGUCUCCCAUCUCUCAGGUGUCCCUGAUGUGGAGUCAGGGGUGUGUCUCACAGUCUCCUGGACAGUGUUAGGACCCACACAGUUCGCUGUGCUGUUGCCCUCCCAGAGGAUAUUCUGCUGGCUCUGGGCCUUUGCAAUGAUGAAUGGUGCCCUGGUGACUUCUAUAUCUUUGUAUAGUUGACGAGACAGACCGUGGAUGAAAGGACUUCUGGAAACCGACUUACUGGGUUAAAACAUGUGCUUUUAAAUUUGGCUUAAAUACUGCAGAAUGGCUCUCUGGAAGCUGUGGAUCAGCUCACACUCCCACCGGCAGGGGGAGGAGAAACGAUCUCCACCUGAAGAUGAGACCAGUGGUUAGCAGGGUGCUGGUGAUUCCGAGGCACCCAGGAACUGCUUAGAACCCCUGUGCAGCUUCAGCCUGCACGGUGUCUGGAAUUCUCACCUAUUCCUUGAACAGGGGCAUUGACUCUCCAAGGCUCAGAUGUUACAGGAUCAUCCAUCAGUCCCCAGAGCCCCCACUCGGAACCCCAGAAGGGUGACAAGGGAAGUCUGCUUGUACUUAUUAACAGUGGACUAAGGGAAGGUGGCAUUAGGGCUUUCCUGGGCCAUCAGCACUGUUGCCUUCAUGGAUUUUCUCCUUCACUAAAACAAGAAAAAAAAAUAGUACAUUAAAAAGUAUGUUUUGUGACUACCUUGGCAUAAGACUGAGAUAAUCCAGGAUGGACUGUAUUCACUGUUUUCUUUUGGUUUCAAAAAAUUAAAAUGGUGUCAUCAGCUCCUAAAAGCACUGUGCACCCUGAAUGUCAUCUUUACUGUGCCUUGUGUUGGCCUUGGCCUUGUUCCCCAGGGUACCUGCCCCAGUGCUCACCCUGACUUUGGACACUGAAAGGCCCAUACGGGGGACAAACAGUCCUCAUGUAAAGAACCAGGCAGCCUUUGGGUGGGGGUCGAGGCUCAUGCCCAUUACCAAAGCACUAGCUCCUGUAGUUUCCAGAGUGUUUUGAGCAACAUUAUUUUAUUUCUGGCCAUCUGCCCAUUUUACAGAUUACAAAAUCAAGGCACUGAGAAAAGAGAAGUAGCUUGUCCUAGACAUACAGUGAACAGGAAAUAAGGCUGUAGAAUCAAACACAGUCUCAGUCCUUUUCACGGCCUCCUGCAAGGCCAGUGGUGCCAGCUGGGGUCAGUCGGAUCUUCUGAUCCAGAUUUGUUCUCUGGACUUCCUCCUAGAGAUGUGACUUUACACAAGACAGUGCCUGACAGUGCAACAGCCUGCAGGUCACACAGUGGAGUCCCCAUGUUUGGGUGACAGAUGGUUCCUGAGUGUCUCCCCAAGUGAUUGGCUUUGGGGUGUGAGUGUGUGUGCAUGUGUGUGUGUACAUGCAAACAUGUGCAUGUGUGUGUGUGUGUGUGUGUGUGUGUGUGUGUGUGUGUGUGUUUGUAUACGUGCAUGUGUAUGUGUGUGUGUUUUUUUCAAACUAUAGCAAAAUUAAUUGUCACACAUGCCCGGGACCUUAUUUUAAUGCAAGUAGAGCAUCAUUAGGAAUUCAGAAUUAGGUAGCUCAGCAUUAAUUACCUUUUAUUUAUGGAGUAUGUUUAUUGUCAUUAACAAGACAAAUGCUUGAAGGGCAGGGAAGGAGGAUUCUUCAGGAGCAGGUGGAUUUAAGAAGUAAUGUGUGGGUGGCAAAAUCAGAAAUGGCGUCUUUCUUUCUUUCUUUUUUGUCUUUUUCAUUUUUAUUGGUACCGGGGAUCAAACUCAUGACCACCUGCUUGCAAGGCAGGUGCUUAUGCCGCGGAGCUAAAUCCCCAGCCCUGUGUUUCUUUUUUUACUUGUAUUCUGUCUGAUUCCUGUGUUCUGAUUCUCCUUACCCCUUUCCAUAGGCUCUGUGUCCAUCUUGGGAAUUCUGAUCCUGUUUUAUCCCUAUUGUGCCGUCUACAGUGUCAAAUAGCCAGGCCUGCUUUCUGGGAUACAUACACCUCCAGGUUCCUGUUCCUGAUGGAAAGGGGCCAUGAGAUGAAGCUUUAGAAUGCCAAGCUUUCAUCAUGUCCCUGCCAUCUUAAAAAGCUUAUAACUAUUGCCAGGAGUGGUGGCAUAUGCUUGUAUUGUCAGCAAUGGGGAGGCUGAGGCAGGAGGAUUGCUGCAUAGCCCAGCCUGCAUAGCCAGCACUUUAUAGUGAGUUCAAGGCCAGUUUAAACUACAUAGUGAGACCCUGUCUCAGAAAAACAAGAAAAAAAUUACAACUAUUAAUUAUCUGCAUUUUACUGAACAUGUAUUAUAUCCUGGGUACUUCUGCAGCACACAUGUUAUUUAUGGCCUAAUAAUUCUUUGGGGUAAGGGAUAAUUACAUGGGGUUUAUAGAUGUGAAACUUGAGACUCUGAGUUUGAGUCAAUAGCUUGAGGUCACAGAGAAAAAAUGACUCAGAUUUGUCACCAUCCAAUAUCACUCCCACAGGGCCAUCAGAAAGGGCCAGACAGAACAUGCUCACCACACAGCUGGGCAGGAGCUGAGCCUUGGCACUUGGAGCCAUCGGGGUCCAAGCAGCCCCGCAGGGAGGCCAAAGGACUUUGUUCCAUUUUCAGCUUCCUCUGCCUUCUGUGUGUGUCUUCCCACAGUGGUCUUGAUCUGGCUGAGGGCUGUUUGUUUUCUAAAGCUAAAAAUCAAACUGGGAUUAUGAUGCAUGCCUGUGAUCCCAACACUCGGAAGGCUGAGGCAGGAGGAUCACAGAGUUCAAGGCCAGCCUGGGCUACAUAGUGAGUUUUAGGGCAGCCUGAGUGCACAGUGAGACCCUGUGUCAAACCAAAAAACCAAAAAAAACCCUAAAAAGAUGGGAAGAGCCAUGACUGUUUUCCUUUCCAACAGUGAUCUCUUCUGGAAAACAAGACUUGGAAGCCUUGGUUGGGCUGCCAUGGCCCCCUGUCCCCAGUGGGUAGCAUGAGAUGGUACACAGCCCAACAAACCUGAGUGCUUGGUCCACUGAAUGUGGCUUCGUAAUUGGUGGCUGGCAUGGGGUAAGCCCGCCUCUGCACUGUGCUGGGACCUCUGGUGUGAUGGGGCAGGCAGGACCAGGGAGAUUGGAUCUCCCAGCUCACACUUGGUUCUCCCGUUUGUUUCAAGGUCCUUACAGAGGCCGUGUGUGUCUGGGGAUCCUCACCUGGCCUUAGGUGACGGUGAGGUGCACCUGCUUGCCUGCAUUCCACAGACUGGGUAGCAGAGAUUGUGGACUUAUUUACUGAGCAUCUAUGACACUGAAGGCUUGAGAAGUCUGGAAUCCGGGAGGAGGAGAAAGAAACGCACUUGGGGUGGGAAUGUCACAACCUAGGCUGGGUUUGAAUGCUCCUUGUGUUACCUUCUGCUGUUUAUCUUUUGGGGAUCUCACUCCUGCGGGAAGGAGUGGGACCCCCUUAUUCUCCAUUUAGCAAGAAGCCUGGCACAGUAUACAUGCUGAAUAACACUGUUGAGAGAAUUCAGUGUGAAGAUGAGGACAGAAUGCUUAGGAGGGUCGGCCGCCAUGUGUCAUUAAUAUAAUGGGGGAGAGGGAAGCACCACUUCUGCAGGGCCUUGCUGGCCAAGGAGGAGCUGGCUGGGAGGAGAAUGAGCAUCUCUGGGACUCCGAUGGGGAAGACAUGGAUGCAUGGGAACUUGAUCAAGGACGUUGAUGGGCAGGGGUGGAGAGGAAAUGGACUGAGCCGCCAGGCUGGUGAGUGGUGAAAUCCAAGAUUGGAGCCCAGAACUUCUUAGCCCAGCUCAGGUGGCUUCUGGGCCAUCCAGCGGUCUCCUCUUCGGUUCACUUUUACCACAGAUUGUGUAUGCAUCUCCUGUGAGAUGCUCUUUGAAUUAAGAGCUUCUGAGAAGCAGCAUUACACAGAGCAUUCGGCAGGGAUCAAUUCGUCCUUCAGUUUCCUUCUGCACAAGCCUACAGGCUACUGUUGGUGGUCACGGCCAAUCGGCGCAGCCCUUGCAGGCCGCCCUAGGCCUGGAGCUCACCAUGCGGUAGAGGUGGAAACCAAGGCUGAGGUGCAGGUGGGGACUCCCCCUUCCAACUCUGUCCCUGCUCUGUACGGCUCUAGCUCACUGCCAAACUGUAGCUGCCGCGACUUAGUUUCCAGUUUGAAUAAAAUGUCAUUAUCCCUAAUAUGACUUUAUUCUUUCCAUCAGAAGCUGGAAGAUUAGAGGAUUGGAGGCAACCAGUAAUUAGGCUCACCUGUCAGAGCUGCGCUCAUGUCAGAGCGAAGUGCGUCCUCUAACUUCGCCUUGCAUUUCUCUGCAUGUCAAGGCAGCUGUCAAGGCAGCUGGAUUAAGCUCCUUAUGGGGACGAUGACUGACCCCAAAAUGUUAGAACAAGGAUUACCGAGAUGGAAUUUGGCUCAGUUACCUGCUUGUCAUGAUUUAGGAGAGCUGGAGAUUCUCGAGCUGCUUAAGGAAAGUACUCAUUGGUGAGGAAAGCUGGGUUCCAAACCAUUAACAGCUGGUGGAAAUGGUUUCUAAGAUCGCAGCGUGCGGACACGAUAUUCAUCUGUACCCCAGAGAUGAACUUCAGGCCAGUCCGGGGACAAAAGUGAAGAGUCCACAGAACCUUUCAGUGCCAUUUGUCAUCUGUGGCUUUGAGGGAGCUGUGUCGCAUACUUUGUUCCCGAUGAUGGGCCACAUGAGCCAGAGGCUGGAUGGGUCUUUGUUCUCCACUCUUGAAAAAUUACAGUCUGGCGUACUUCAAAGGGAUUCUAACGAGGCUGUCCGAGGCACAGACUCCAGCUUUGCACAUUCAGAUUUCAGCUCCACGGAGUUCAGCGCAGCUCAGUUUCGGUAGUGAACAUUCGGUCUUUUCCUUUCUUGGGUCCAGGUAGGGUUGUCAUGGAGAUGCUCCAUCAUUUUCAUUGUCACCCUGGCUUUCCUCAGUUGCUUCUGCUGUGUCCAUUCUGUCCAGGUAGCUUUGACUCUCGGUGACUUCUCGCCAGCUCCAUCCCACUCUCAUGCUGCCUCAAUGGCUCUCAACGACUGUUUUUUGCUGCUUCCAGAACAUUCCCCAGUGUAGGAAACUGGAGAUAUUCAGUCAGGAAGGGGCUUUCUAAAUAGCUCUAGUUCAAUCCUCACUUCAUAUAGAGUAACUGAAGCCCAUAGAGGGAAAGCAACUUGCCAAAGAAGUCUGCAAGCUCCCACAUACGAGCUAUACACACCCCCAGUGCUGCCCCAUGAGAGCUUCAAGGCCCUGACAAGGCACAAACCGUCUGUCUGCUGGGCUCUGCACUGGUCCUUUUUGUGCACACCAAAUACAGUUCUCACCUAGUACUCUACAGUAGGAAAUCUGGUUUACAGAUGGAGAAACUGAGGCAGCUUUCUGCUCACGCUGGAUGCUGCCAGCUCUUGAGAGUCAGUUGUGUGUGUCUUUCCCCAUCUCCACAUUCAGGAUAGCAGCUUGCUGGUUGGACUUGGCCACAGUGAGACUAUUUACACAACAGAAACUGGCAAAUGCUACAAAUCAGGGCUUUCUCUCUCCGUCCCCUUCAGCAUUAGCAGAGAUCCGGUUUACCAGUACUCCACGGAAAAUGAGGUAACUUGCUACUUGGGGAGGAAACAGGUCUCUGACUUUAAAACCUGAGCUCUUUCCCAAUACCCUGCAGUGCUAAUCAGCACUUUAUUUCUGUCUUCAACUGUACUGUGGUUUGAACACAGGACCUCCUGCAUGCCAGCUGGGCCACACUCCAGCCCUAAUAGGCCAGGUUUGCAAUGCCUCAUUCCCUCUUGGCUGGAGGUGACGCAGGAGAAGCUGGGCACCGAGGGUGGUGGCAGAGUGCAAGGGUUCUCGUGUGGCCCCCAGGAGAGGGAGAUUCCCCGACCACACUCUGCUGUAACCACUGGCCACUGCCUCUCGUGCUCUCCCAGUGCUUUGAGUUUCCCAGCUGGCUUCAGCUCAGGCCCUCUUGUCCUGGCUCCCGCUGCCUCACAGGCUCUUCCUCCGAAGCACAGAGCUUGCUGCCCACUCCCUUGUUGUCUGUGCUCUUCCUAGACCAGCCCAUCUAGAUUAGCAUCACUCUGUUCAUUUCCGUGUUGAUUCUCAUAACUCAGUCACCAUCUGUCUUCGCCCCACACACGUGUUUGCUUUGGGUCUUCUCUCACUGUGGAAUGUAAGCUCCAGGUAGGCGGGACCUGUGUCAUGUUCACCUUUAGCUUCAGAGUGCAGAAUAGGGAGGGACUGGAUGGAUGAAGGUGGGUGGUGUUGGACCCUGUGUGCCGCCCUUCCUGGACUUAGCUUGGGCAGACAAGCACCGGCUCAGAUACUUAACUUGGAAGGCAAAGGCUUUCUCCCGGCUCUCUGAUUUCACCAGGUCUUCCAUGUGUAUAAACCAUCUUCUCUCGACCCUUGGGGCUAUUUCUUUCAUGUUCCUGCAUUACCCCAAAAGAAGGCCAACUGUCACAUUGGCCAGUGCUGAUUUGCUGACAAAUAAUUCAUCAAACAUUUUGCAAAGGAACCUUUGACCCUGGGAACUAAUUACAUUUCCAUCUUGGAAGUGAAUGUAUCUGUGUCAUUUAAACCGAUUAUUUAAGAGGGUGUUUGGGGCUGAUUGACUGUGACCUUUGGAGAAACAAAUAAGAGGGUGCUUAGGUGACAGCCAGUCAUGGGAACAGCUGCAGGGAUCCAGGUGAGGUGCCUGUACUCUCAUCGUGACCUGGAGAGCCACACCAAUAUUGUUUUCCACAUUUCUGAGGCCACGCCUGCUGGUAAACACAGAACCAUGUGUGUUAGGUGUGUCCCCCUCACACUCACAUACACCCAGCUGCCUUUUUCACUUACAAGUUUCAUAGAUUGCGGAAAAUUUCAGCCAUGUGGACAAGGGAAAAAGAUAAUUAGAAAUCUGGGAUCUCAGCCCAGAGAUAACAAUUGUGAAUAUUCUGAUUGGUUUCCUUCGUGGUCUUUCUUCCCUACCAAUGUACAGUUAGCAUUUUGUAACCCAUAUUUUGAAAGACUUAAUACAUCAGCUCCAUGUCCUUAAAUACUUCUGCACAGUCUCUUUUUUUUUUUUUUUUUUUUUUUGUCUUUUUCCUUUUCAUCGGUACCGGGGAUCGAACUCACGACUGCCUGCUUGCAAAGCAGGUGCUUAUGCCGCUGAGCUAAAUCCCCAGCCCCUCUGCACAGUCUCUUUGACUAGCUGGAAAGUAUUCUGAGGGCAUCAUGAUUUAAGUCACUGCCGGCCAUCGGAUGGGUGUACUGUUUCCAGCUGUCAGGAGAACGUGGUCACGGAGCGACUGCUGAUGAGAUUUAGCUAAGCAGCUACACCCUCGAGGUCAUGCGCUUCAGUACCUGGGAAGGAACCGAUGUGGACUAAACAUCUACGUCUCCCCGCUAUGCACUGAACCCCUCAUCCCAGAGGCAGUGGUGUUUGGAGAUGGAGCCGUGGGGGUAGUCAGGUUUAGAUGAAGUCAUGAGGCAGCAUGAGAGCCCCAUGGUACCAUCGCUGCCGAAGAGAUGGAACUCUGCUCUCUCCAAGGUGUGAGGUGGGCCAUUGUCAAGAACCCAACUGUACUGACACCCUCAUCUUGAAUUUCCAGCUUCCAGGACUACGGAGAGUAAGUGUUUGUUGUUUAAGUGCCCUCUCUUGUGCUAUUCUGUAGUAGCUGUCCAAGCUGAUCGAGACACCCCAACCUCACUGAAUCCUCCCCCUAUACUUGCCAUUAUUAUGACCAUGAUUUGACCGCAGGGCCUUUGCAUAUUCUGUUCUCUCUGUUUGAUGGCCUUUUUGCCUGACAUCCCUUCACCUAUUAUAGAUUUCUUCUCCACCCCCCUCCAGUAAUACAUUUCUUUGCGUUUUAGUAUUUCUGAAUCUAAAAGUUAGUGUGCAUGUUUGGAUGGUAGUGACUCAUGGGCUUGAGAAAGACUACACUCCCCUUCCUUCCCAAAGUUCAGCUCAGGCAAUGCCUCCUGUGUUUGGGGUCCCUCCUGGGCCCUCAAAACCCCUUCUUCCUCCUCCUCCUCCUCCUUCUUUGGAAACACAAAGCUGUCUUGUUCCAUACGUGCCUGAUAGCCAGGCUCCAGGAAAGGUGCUGAAGCAAGACAGGAUGAGGGAAGCUAUGCCUACCCGUGAUGGCUGGAGACCUCCUUCCCAGACGCCCUGUGGGCAGGACAGAACCUCUCGCCUCUGCCAGCUGUGAGCUGCUCCCACUGCAGGCCCAGGCUGUGUGUGCUGGCUCUCGGAGGGCAGAAGGCAGGUGGGUGGGAGGAGGUUUGGGUCCUUCACGCCCAUGUGGCUGUAAGGAGCUUCCAGGAAGCCAUACACCAGCACAGCCAGCGAUUGUUCCUUGUGCUUCAGAAUGACACUCUGGAGUCACAAGUGCUUGGAUUUCAGCUUUACAAAAGGGCCUGCUGGAGAGAUCGCCUUUCCUGCUGUCCCUCUGGCCCAGCCCAGUAUACAAUGACCAUGAAACAAAUUGGCCAUUUGAGCCACCUUUCAGUGCCCCCUCCUCCCGGCUUCUCUGCUUUCUCUCCCUGCUCCCGGGCCUUUCUCUUUGUUCUGAGUUCGCCUUCCCUUAUCUGCCCUGCAUGACUUUUACUUUGGUUUUUGCUGAUUUGCUCCAGUUCCGGAAAGAACGCAGUACCUGUGAGCCCCAGGCAGUGUCUGCACAGAGGUGGGAGGACACAAGAUCAUCCUUUCUGGUUGGGAAGGUGAAUGGGCAGCUGCUGAUUUGAGAAGGACAGGAAGGAUUCUAACAGGUGACCAAAUGGUGGAAGAAAGGGAAAAGCCAGCACAAGCACAGGCAAGAGCAGGAUGUGAGGACUCAGAAAGGCGAAGCAAGUACUUAGAACAUCCAUAGCUGACCUGCGAUGUGCUGGCCAUGGCCAUUUGUGGGUGGCUCGGGCCUCAUGCAGGUCCCUGUUUCUGGUAGCUCAUUGAGUCUCUUCUCACGUUUAUUUGCACACUCGAGCCCCACAACAGCCCUUCUGUUGUUGUCGUGUUACACAUCGGGUCAUUGAAAACAGGGCGGUGAAGUGAGCUGCCCACAGUCACAGCACGGCUGAGAUGAGACGUGAGAGCUGGACUCUGUCCUUCUCUUAUCUUUCUAAUGUGUUUAAGCUCCUGCCUGCAUCCAAGGCAUUGUGGCAAGGGUGAUUUGAUGCCAUCAGAAGAUUCCAUGCAGCAGGUGGCUUCACCCAUUGCCAGUGUCUUCUCUUCAAGUCCUAGAGGCCACACACCCCAAAAUCAAGGUGUUGGCAGGCAUGGCUCCUUGUGAGAGUCCUCCAGAAGAAUCUGUCCCUGUAUCCCCUUGGCUUCUGGUGGUUGCCAGCAACUCUUGGGAGAUAUUCUUUGGCUUGGACCUGCGUCUCUCCAAUCUGUGUUUUCAUCUUCACCUGUCCUUGUUAUAAUGACAUCAAUCAUUGGAUUUAUGACUCACCCUCAUCCAGGGUGAGCACUUUAUAAUGAAUCACAUCUGCAGAAACCUCAUUUUCAAGUUAGGUCACUUCUGAGGUUCCAGAAGACACUAAUUUAAGGAAAAACAUUCAGCAUAGCUUAGGCCCAUCUCAUGAAGAGCCUACAGGACCAUGCAGAGGAUUUGUGCUGUGGGCAAGGACAAUCAAGGAGGGGCUUCAGCAGGGGAGAUUGACCUGUCUAUAAUCCCACACUGUGGGAGCUGGAGGCAGGAGGGACUUAAGUCUGAGCCCAGCCUGGGCAGUUUAAAAAUUCAUGAGGACUCGUGCUCAGGCUGUGCUCAGGCUGAUCAGAAUGGGGAGCAAGCUCUUCCAAAUCUGAAAGCAUUAAUCACAACAAAUCUGUUCCCAAUGAGAGCUCAAAAGACCAAUCAGGACCUGCUUCUCUGUUGGUUUCCCUGUCCUUCCUUUGCAUCCAGCCCCAUGGGUCCCUGGACCUUCAGCACAGAGCCCUUUCCUACAGUCUCCCUGGGAUAGGAAGUGUGUGCAGCAGCUGCCCGGGGGCAGACUGGGAUGGGCUACUGAGUCCAGGGGUCCUGGGAAAGCUUGAUGGAGUAGCCUGUGCCAGGUGGAUGCAGAUACAGCAGCCCUAGGUGCAGCUUAUGAACCCUGCAUUCACCUGCCCCUGCAAAUGUGGGACAGGAAAGCCCAGGGGAGUCUCAGCCCUGCUCUGGUGGUAUAAACCACAGGCCCCCUCUGCCUUGGCCCUUGCUUAAGCCUUGAAUGGGCUGUAAAGGAGUAGGUUUGGGGGUGGCACAGUUGGCCUCAGCAGGUGCUUGGAGGCCUCAGGCUUCUGUGGUUUUUUAGCAAAACUCCCCAAGCACGUAGCAGAAUUUCUUCAGAUCCCUGGGCUGGAGUUCAGGUAAGGCAGCAGACAAAGAAAGUUUGAAUACCUAAAUUAAAACCAUGUGCUCCUCUAGGGGCCUGUGACCUAAGACAAAUUGCAUGAUCUCUCUGAGUGCCAGUUUAUGGGCUCUGAAUGAGAGUGGGACAUAAAUUUUCAGGAGGAUGAACCUCUUAAGGCAUGGUUUGGGAUGGGAGGUGUGAGGAAAAUGCCCAGCCCUCUAUGCAGCACGCAGGGACAGCUUACCUGGUGGCAGGUAUGGAGCAUCCUACACCUUGUUCUGAAGAUGCUUCACAGAGUGUCUUCUUGGGUCUGCAUCACAGCUGCAGAAGUUAGUUCUACGAUGACCUCUGUUGUUGUACAGGGAGGGAAUUGUGACUUGGAGAAGUUAGGUCAUUGCUGAAGGACAAAGAACCAAGGAAGUGUGAGAGCCAAAUGUAGACCCCAGAGCCUGCAGUUUCUCCACCUGCCUGUGCUGCCUCUCUCAAUGCAAUCUUUGUUAUCAACUCCCAGCCCUCGGAACCAGCCUCUCCAACCUUGAAACUCUGCUUCCCAGCAGCCCUGCAGCUUGGGGUCACUGCCACCUUGCAGAGGAGACCUGUGGACAGGAGGCUUUGCCUGCUCCAUUCAUUGAGCACCUACUCCAUAAUCCCAGCUGCCAGGAUGGGAAUGAGCAGGGCAAGAGGGCUCCUGCUUCAUCCAGCUUGUGUUUUAGUGCCAGAAUACACAGGAUAAAAUCAAUAAGCGAGAUAAUUCCCAGCAGUGGGGAGGGGGUGAAGAAAAUAAAACUUCGUGACACAGUGACAUUCGGGGAAGGCCUCUGGGCUAUUGGAAUGGCCCAGAAGAGGCAGCAGGUAAAAAGUACCAGGACAAUCUCUCAGGUGGGGUCACACAGGCUUGGAGGAGUUGGGAGGAUUGAGGGGAGCAGAUGAAAGUGGGGUGAUGUCAUCAGGAGCAGUGGCAUGGGCUGGGAGUGUACUCCUGUGACUAUUCAGUCCUUAGUGAUUAUGUCCAGCCAGAGAGGAUGGCUAAGCAAGGGGCCAAGCCUGAUCAGGGCAGGGGGCUGAGCGGGGAAUUGGGCUCUGGCUGGGAGCUCAAUGGAGCCCUUCAUUCUGCUGAGGGGUUGUGGGUCCCCUAUACUCAGGCAGCUGGUGAGCCCAGUCUCAUGCAUGGGGAUGACAGUAUUGAAAAUUACCCUGUGCCAGCUGCAGCCAGCAGCAAAAAGGAGUCCAGAUCUCAUCAGGAAAGCCGUGGUUACCACCCGUUGUCCGACACCCCUGAGCCUGCUGAUGGGAUUAGAACCCCCUCCGAGGAUUUCCCAGGAACAAACUGCCCACAGAGAACUAUGGGUAGAUGCCAUAAAAGUGAUAAAAUUUCCCUCCCCCUGGAGAGGAGGAAGUUGCUGUGUGGAGUUGGUCAGAAUGAAAUUGUGUAAUGCUGGUCCUGGAUGGCACUUUAAUGAUAGCUGGUGAAAUUUAGGGAUGGGGGAAAAAUACCAAGAAAAUCUUUGUCUGACUGGGAAGAAACAGAGCAAGCUGACCUUUUGGCUUGAGAGAAGGGUCAGCAGCAGCAUGGCUUGGACCGCUGAGGUCAGACCAAGCUGGGGCUGCUUCCAAAGUUUCACUUACUUCCUGUCCCUGUGUUCUUGGGCAAAUAACUUAACAUCUCUAGUGUCCCAGUUUCCUUAUUUGUAUAAACAUUGAUGUAACAGUGAUGCCCACCUCAUGGGUUUUCUUUACAUUGACUGAACAAUAUAUAUAAAGUACUCACACACCCUGAAUCAUUGUGCCUUGAUAAAUGAUUGCUGCCGCUCCCACUUGAGGUGCCAUGUGGAAGGUGUUGGUGGUUGUGAUGGGGAGCUUGUGACAGUAGCAGGGACAGGGACAUCUUCUCCAUGAGCUUGGUCUUCCAGAAUGUCCUGCCAAGGUGAUUUCUUUUUGAUUCCCAGAUAAGUGCUAUUUAUCUUAUAACUCACCUGUAUUUCCUGGGGGGCAGUUUUGAAAAGGAGACCAGACUGCAUCAGUGAAGAUUUCUGGACACACUGAGAGUUUAAAGCCAGCCUUUGUUUCAUUUCACGAACUGAGGGGGGUGAGCCCUGGUCUGCAUGUGGGACUCCUGGAGAAAAGUGUUCAACAUAAUGCAAUGGUUCUAGGCUCUGUUCCUGUCCAGUCCUGGCCCAGCUCCAGGUUUGUAAGCCCGCGGUUCCUCUAAUGUCACCAGCAAUACAUUAUGAGAGCUGAUCCUCCCUGCUAAGUGUGCCCUGAUAUGUCCCUUUGGUAGGCCCUUUGGGUUCACCAUGCGUUCCAAUACUUUGUGGUACCCAGGACUGAACCCAGGGUUUUGGCACUGAGCGAUGUCCUCAGCCUUUUUUUAUUUUUUUAUUUUGAGACAGGGUCUUGCUAAUUUGCAAAGUUGCCCAGGUUGGAUUUGAACUUGCAUUCCUCCUGUCUCAGCCUCCCUGCAUGCUGGGAUCACGGGCGGGUACCACCGUGCUCAGCUGAACCCAUUUCUUUCCACUAUGCAGAAUGCAUUUCCUAUCUUCAUUUCACACUACAUAAACAGCGCCCUUUCAAAAAGAAUCUGAAGAGUAAGAGAGAAGAAUUGAGUGUCCUUUCUGAGAAGGAAUUUAGCGGUGAGAACCAGAUUCUGCCCAAUAACUGAGGUUAGGAAGAAGCAGUUAGGGGGACACCUGCGGUUGACUUAGGCCCUGAGAUCUGUAGGGGAAACCAGGGAGGAAAACAGUAACAACUCAGCAGCACAAGCAGUAUUUGCUCAUGAGCUCUUCUUGUCAUGGGCAUGGUGAGUAAUUCUGCCCCAGGAUCCUAUCGAGUUUGCUUUGUGCCCCGAGGUGUAGAGUUUGGAAAAAUACCAGUGCUGGCGGUUCUUCUGCAUUGAGGAGGAAGGAAAGAUGACUCCCGUGGGAUUGCUGGUUCUUGGAAAAUCAUUACUCACCUGAUCCCGGGUGGGAAUGGAGGCAGAGUGAUUGGGACUGCCUUAAGGGAACCUGCCACAGGGCCUCUCACACCGAGAGGCCGUCUGGAGACUUUGGAGUUCCAGGAGUCAUCACUCAUUGAUUUUCUUUUUAUUGCGCACCUACUAUGUGCCUGGCACUGGAGCACACAAUGGCUGUGACUCCUUCAUCGUGGACUUUACAGAGACAAAGCAAGAAAAUGAGUGAAUGAAGAAGUCCAGUCCAGCAGGUGACAGUUCCAUGGAGAAAGCAGUGAUGUGCUAGGUAGUGCCGUGCGAAUUUAGAUGAGGGGCAGUGUUAGGCUGGGAAAUCCACCGUGUAAACCAGAGAGCUGGCCCAGUCUGUGAGGACAGCCUUGGGUCUCCCCUUGCAGCUUUAUGCCGAGCCUGGCUGCUGUCACCCUCGGGAGGGUCCCUCGGGCCCAUAGUCCCCUCCUGGGGUUGAAAGUUUAGCGUUGCUUUGGGGCACAGAAGUUGCUGGCUAGAGGACUCACCUUCGCCCUUCCUUGGGUCCACAUCAAGCCCCGGACAUGGAGCCUUGAAUCACUGGCUCCCUGACUUCUCUUAGGCGAGUCCCCCGCCUUGUCUGUCCCCCUGCUGAGUCCUGGUACAGCCACCAGCAUCUCUGUGCAGGCUGCAAACUGUCUCCCUGGGUUCCUCCAACCCCCAUGGGACUCUCCACCUGGCAUCCAUUCUUCACAGUGGGCUCAGCACCGUCUUUUAAAGCAUCUUUCAUGUCAGGCAUGCCCAGGCACACCUCCCGGGUACUCUUCCCUGCCUCUCCAUAAAUACUUAGGGUAAUGACUGAAGUCCCUGUGGUGACGUGGAAAGCCCACUCGGUGCAGGCCCCAGUCUCUUCUUCAGCCUUGUCUCUAGACAUUUGCGGCUGAGUUUCCAAGUCUGAGCAACAGGGCCUUUCCUCCAGUUCCUGCCACACUCUCUCCUGCCUCUGCCUCAGAGUCUUUGCACAAGCCUGCAGGGCUCCUAAUCUGUCCUCCUUCACAUGUAUCCGCCUGAGUAACUUAGCUGUUCCUUUAGAGGGAGUCUUCCUUAUGCCUCAGCGACAUCACAGACACAGCAUAGGACACCUUGGUUACAUGUUCUGAACAGCGCUCUGUAGUUUCUUUCACACAUCUAGCACACUUGUGUUUGCGUGGGAGGUCUCCUUCCUGAGCUUCUCCACAGUGAAGAGAGGCACGCUCACAGAGACCUUGGCUCUUAAAUAUCCCACCUGGCUGUGCUACUUGCUUUAAAAACACGGCACAACACGAGGCUGUCUGUAUUUUCUGUUCCAAGCUCUGCCUUACAGAGAUGGUGAUUGAUACCCAAGUUCAAGCAGAAGCCCAGCAAGUGGGAGCUUGGUGGAUGAACGGCUUGCUCAGGAAGUCUGUUCUUGCCUCCAGCUAUCAGAGCCGUGCUAUUUUCUUUGGCGCAGAGGGCUUGAAGACUGUGUAUACUCAGGGAAACGGUGUAGACCCUUGGUGUGGAGUCGGGGCCAGGGGUCAUGUUCAAAAAAUAAUCAAGUGAAAGAGGGUUGUGUGAAGCCUGGUGGGGGGACACCGCUGCUCUCUGCUGCUAAGGAAUCAGAACUUCUCCCUUGUGUCAAUGUGGAAGUGAAUGAAUCAAGCUCCGUUUUAUGCCAUGCCUGGAAAAAUACCGGGGCUGGACUUGCAUCGUGUCGGAAAGCAAAGCCCAGAUGCCAGUCAGUCUCCACUCUCGGAGAGCCUGUGCAGGAGGAGAGAGUCAGCACUCCCGGGCCGUGGGGACUUCACUGCAGUGCAGGGAGACUGGAGCUGUGGAUUUCCCCCAUGCCUUUUUUGAGGUUACAGACCCAUUUGAAAAUGUGGCAAAAGGAACCCUUCUGGCCCUCCACUGUAUUACCUCUGCAUAAUGUGUGCUUUCAUGAAACCCCAUCAGUGGGGUCCCUUCAGGGCCACAGGCAGUGUUAAAAGUCCCAGUGAUUGGGGCAGAAAGAAGUUAAUAAGGAGGAGCGAGGAUGUACUGCUACGUGAUGUGAGGACUAAAGAAGAGAAUCAAAGCAAUGCUCUCUGACUAGAUUUCCCCCACACCUUCCAUUCUGAGCACGCGUGUAUGGCAUGGGGUGGACGUGUGUCACAGUGGGGCAAUGCAGAUCCCCGGGGUGUGGGGGGAGCCUUGGGGGCAGAGUCGGCUCUCAGACCACUCUAAGCAGCUCUCCAGUCUUAGCCCUCCUCGGUGACCCAGCCACAGGAAGGCAGGCAGCAUGGGAUUGCGGUUUCAGGCUGUCUUACUUGCUCAUGGCGCACUGCGGACCUGGCAUGGUGCUUGGCACUUGAUAGGUGCCCAGCCAGUGUUCGUUGACUGCCUGAGUCAGUCACUCCUGGGUUGCCAACGUUCACUCUGUCUUCUCUUUCAUUUUGUCCUGCAUUCAUCAGAUCUCGGAGUUGUGAUUUGCUGGCUCUAGAAAUCUAUGUAGAGCAUUUCCUAGGCUUCUAGUGGAUCAUAAUUGGUCUCUAGGCACAGAAUAUGCUGGCUGAAAAAUCUUGCUCGGGGUCCACUAUGCUUGGAUUAAAAAUCUCAGUUCGUAUGUUACAAAACACUAAGAAAAAAUUAAAAAUUGUAAAAUCUUUUGCUGCUUGGAUGUAACGAAUAUCCCAGUUUUCUCAACUGAGGAUGGGAAGCUGGGUAUGAGAAUUAAACAAAGUCUUACCGUCAAAGCACUUGGUGUAAUUAUUGACCCCGAGAUGCAUGUCGUUUCGGUAAGUGUCAGCUGUAGUCAGGUGUGGUGGUGCAGGCCUAUAAUCCCAGCACGCUGGGAGGCUGAGGCAGAAAGAUCCCAAACUGCAGCCUAGCUGGGGUGACUUGAUGACACCCUAUCUGGAAAUAAAGGAAAUAGCUCACUGUGGGGGCCGGGGCUCAAGUGCUAGUACCAAAAAAAAUAGAAAGACAAUUUAAAAAUACUCAAACUUUUGUUUUAUUGUUUGGCUCCUCUAUGGGUCACUGGUCCUCUUGGGGUCACCUUUCAUUUCUAAAACCACAGUUCUGAACCCCAGAAAUUAAUCAUUGCUAAGUAUACAGUGGGUACUCGUCUUGUCUGCUUCAGACGGUCUUAGAAUGUUCAACCGUGGUUAUAAAGCUCCGGAGCACACACUUCCUCCCCUUCAUUUAUUAUCAUAUUUUAGUAUCAGUUAAUAAGCAUGCAUUAUUUUAUAAUUUAAUGAGUACUAUGUAAGAACAAUAUUGUCAUAAAAGUUUGUUUAACCAAAUUUACUAAAUCCAGUGGUGGGAAAUAAGAAUCUUUAUUGUAUCUGGUCUGUAGAAAUGAUUCCAGGAAAAUUUGUCCUCUCUGUCCCCAAAUCAAAGGGCCCAGCCCAAACCCCAAAAAAGGAAGGGCCUGUUCCUAAGUACACAGAGAUGUGCUGCACAGGUCUGUGGGUCCAGGUUAGGAAGCCUGGGCUCAGGGCCUUCUGUCCCUACCUGACCACUGACCAACUCAUUCAUAACUUGGGGAAAAUUGCUUACCUUUUUAAGCCUCAGUUUUCUCAUCAGAAAAAUGGGAGAAACAAGAUGGAAAAUUUUUUCCUUAGAAAUCGUUGUGGAAAUCAAUAUUAAAUUUUUCGCCUUCAAGACGACACCUUUCAUACGCUGUUUUCCCUUUUCUUUGCUCAAAUAGCAUCUGCAGCGUCGUCAUCCUUUCCAUUUGGCAUCUAAUCAUCAUCACAAGUGGAUCCAGGCCAAAACAGGUUUUCUGGCUUCCUGAACCCAUAUCACAAACCGCAGCCCCCUUGGUUUUCUGCAUCUUAGUAGAUGGCCCAACAUCGCCCCAGGGGUGAGGGGGAAAUCUGGGGGGGAUGGGCGUUCACUGCUCUUUUCCCCACACCUCUGUUCACUUGAUGGCUCUGUCCACACGUCUCAAAACCCAUCCCGCCUCACCAAGCCCGCUCCUUCUCCAGACAGUGAUCUCCCCCUCUGGUGCUGGCGCCCCAGCUCCAAACACCUUCUGCCCUCUCACGGAGCCUGGCAGUGCCUUAUUCAUGGUGUAGCCAGCGUCAGCAUGGACAGGUGUAUGUCAGGAUAUCCUCCAGCUUGCUGGGACCCAGAUGCUCACUGUCUUUAUGUCUCUAUGGACGAGGAGAAGGAAACUUUCCCUGCAGCAGGCCAGACAGGAAGUAUCUCAGGUUUUGUGGGCUAAUAAUGGUGGAAUCUAUCGCAAAGUCAUCCUCUUCUCCUGCUUCUCCAUCUCCAUCUCUGGCUCUUUCUCCUUCAAACCUUUUAAAAGCAGGAAAACAGUUCUUAGCUCAUGAGACGAGAUACCCAGGGCUCAGGCUGGAUGUGGCCUGCACCUGGUUACGGACUCCUACUCUGUCUCCAGCUGUCUCCUCUCUGUCACCUUGCUUGCUCUCUGGCCUCAGUGGCUUGCUUGUGGCCUUUAGACUUCCAAUAAUAUCCUGCUCAGGACCCCUGGCCUCCUGCCUGCUCUGUCCCGUGGAUCUUUGGUGUGGCUUGCUUACUGCUUUGGUUCACUGCUCUGUUUCCAGGAGGCCUCCUGGGGCUCACCUCCCCCUCACCCCUCCUCUUCCCAGGGGUACUGGCACUCAGUGGCUGGCUGCACUUGUCAUAAGACCUCCUAAGCUUUCUCUGCCCUCUCCUUACAUCCCCAGCCCUGUGGGGUCUACAAAUGCAAAGAGGAACAGGGUGAAGGUGCCAGGUUCCAAGAAGCACCUGACUCCCCAUGGGAUCCGAAGAUGAAUCUUUGCGUGCACAGGGUGGGGGAGUGAGCCGGGCUUUGAAGUAAAGGAACUGUCCAUCUCACAGGAAGCUGAUGUCAUUGGAACAUCUUAGAUGACAAAUGCUGAGAGGAGCCAGAGCUGAUGUCUCAGGAGGAGGCAGUAAAGCAGCUCCUGGAGCCAGGGAAGCCCUAAGAUAAACACCCCUCCCCAGCACAUGCAGCCAAGCCAGCCUACAAGCCCAUUAGUACAGACAUUUCUGGGUUGUUGCUUAUCUGGCCUCCAUGGGUCAUGGUGGAAAAAGCGGGUAGUUGGAAGCCACUUCAAGGAGCAUGGUGCCUCCUGGCCAUAAGCACAAAAUUCUGAGAAUCUCCUAGGGCCUGCCAAUUGGCAGAUUCCAGAUGUACCCUUUUCCCACCCCAGCCUUGGGAGAAAUGUGUUUGGAUUAGGGUCACUGCAGAAAGAGAGCCUGAAUCCCUUCCUUCCUGUGGCCACCAUAGGAGGUGUCUUGGGAGUGGGCUACAGGGAGUGAUCCCAGGGAAGAGCCCACGAGGACCUGACACUUCCACCCUCACGUUCUGGCUCAGAGCCGAACAACAAGCUUGGCUGAACCUGAUGUCCUGGGAUAUGAUGCACGGAGCUGUGAGCCAGUACAAACAGCCUUGUGCACCAGGCAGGGACUGGACCAGUCUUGGCUCAGGAGUCAGAUUAGGGAGUGAAAAGAUAUAGCAACCUCUUCCUUGGAUACAAACUGGAGGGCGGAAAGAGUACUGGAAAGGAGAACUGUAUACUGUCCAGAUUUGGGGUUUCCAGGUCCAGAUCAUGAGUCUAGCUCUAGAUGUUAGUAAAUUCGACACCAUGGAAUAGGAAGUGAAAUGUAAAAAUACUCAGCAAACUUCAGCUCAGCUGUGCUUCAGAUGGGAGGUCAGACACUGUGACAUACUCUGAGUCUGUGCUGUGACCGGACCAGUUACUUGACCUUCCUGGGCUUUGAUGUUUUUACCUGUACCACCAUAAUGGUAAAUCUUGAUGUCCUUGUAUCAUGCAUUAUUAGGGUCAAAUAAGAGAACAACGUAAGUCUUUGCAAAGUUAAAAAAUGCUCUUGCGGGGCUGGGGAUUUAGCUCAGCAGCAUAAGCGCCUGCCUUGCAAGCAGGCAGUCGGUGAGUUCAAUCCCCGGUACCGAUAAAAAGGAAAAAGACAAAAAAAAAAAAAAAAAGAAUGUAAUCCUAAGAAAACAUAGUAGCUACGGAAGAUCAUUUGUAUUAUAGUUUUAUAAGUCUUAUCCAUUGCAUGUUUUUCUAGGAAAUUGUUUCGCUGUCUUGUUAUGACUUGGUUUUCCCUAUAAUACAGAGAGGAUAGGAACAAAUACUCUGAGGAAGAGACCUGAAAAACCCGAGGCUUAUUUUGUAGCAUUAUAAUAUAAAUUCUAGCAAUCUAUUGCUUGAUGAUUAGAAUGACAUUGGACUGGUUUCUUCAGCUCAACUUCAGCAUAUGCAGAGAUGGGGACGGCUAUCUCAAAGAGAGUGAGAGAUGUGAUGGUAGUUGCUAUUGUCUUCCCUAAUUUGGAACUUGAGGACCUAAAAAGACUCCAUCAUCCUGUAAUGAUUUGAUUAGUUCUAUAAUAUGCAAUAAGUAUAUAAAGUGGGUGAAGAUAGGGACAACUAUUUGUAAGAAGCUAGAGACAGUUAGAUAAGGUAGAUCUCCAGUGGACUUGCUUUGAAAUCUGUAUUUCUUUAAAUUGUUUUUUAUUUUUUAUUUUUUUUUAAAUGUUCUGUUCUGAUAUGGUUUUGAUAUGGUUAACCUUACCCUCUUAGAGAUGUAAAACAAAUAGGUGGGACUGAUAAUCAUAUUACGGAGCUUUUGUUCGACCAUAGAGCAGAAUGGUUUGUAGGGUCACUUUUUUGAAUGUCAUUCUAAAUACUUUAAUUCUAUAACCUGAACAGCCAUUUCGAAGAUGACAAUUUGUAACUUAUCAACUGGCAAUUUCUUACCUUUUGUUUGUCUGUAAUUUAGUAUUAUUCUUACCCUUUUUUUUAUCUCCAUGUAUUUUUUUCUUUUUUCGUUUCCUUUUCUUUAAAUUAAAAAAAAAAAAAAAAAAUGCUCUUGCGCCCAUGUAGCUUGAUCGCUAGCCUAGUGUAAAGCAGUGCCACCAAUCGGAGUGAUCACUGUUGUGCCUUGACACUGUCCCUGGGUUUCCUACGCAUGCUUACAGAUCCUCAGGGCAGUCUAGUGGGGGCAUCAUUAUCAUCCCCAGGCACAGGUGAAGCAGUAAGGCACAAAGAAGUUAAAUAACUCAGCCUGGGUCUCACGGCUGGCAGGAAGGACCAGAACUUGGAUUCCGCAGCAAAUCUCAAAAGGAUGCACUUGCACCUCCGGUGCUUGCAGCACAAUUCUUUCAGGCUCCCUGCCCAGUGCUGGGCUUCCUUGCAAAGAUAGCCAGAAGCCCGUCCAGUGCAAGCAAACUCAUCCCUAUCUCUUCCUUGUAGAACAGCUCAGUUGCUGCCAACUGCAGAGUCUGGUGUUUACCAACUCCCAGAGCUAAGGCUUCCAAUGGGAACUGUGAUCUCCACUGAUCCUGGGAAACAGGGAGCAAUGCCAGGCAGCGGGGGCACCUCUGGGUUCUGGAGGGCAGGCGCUCGUGGCUGGAACUUCCUGGUCACAGGCAGCAAACCUCCCCACCUCUGCUGUGUGCUGAGUAGGUCUCAAACCAUUUCCUUGAGAAAGCAGAGGCUGGGGGUGGCCUCUGAAAAGCAGGCCAUCCAUUCCAUGUUCUUGGGAGGAAGGGAAGAAAUGUAGUCAGCGCUUCCUCUCUGCAGCCUCUCCUGAAGGAGGAGGUUCUUUACCCUCUUAAAACAGGGGGCCGUUGCACUGCUGGGAUUAGGUGCAGCUUGGUGAGUUCCAUCAGCAGAGAGAAGUGGGUGAGGGCUUGUGUGACCCUCUCUCUGAGAAGCCUGUAGGAGUCUUCUGAAAGAUGCACUAGGGUGGCAACAAUGAGGAGAGCUAGGAGAGAAAUCACUAGAACCAUGGUCUUUGUCCUAGAUAAGAGAACAGCCAGAGAGCACUGUCCUUGGGUGUCAAGGGCUGUCCUCAUGCAGCCUAGUUCCAAAUGGCCUCCCUGGGGUGGGGGGAGAAGGAUUGGGAGAGAAGCAUCUAAAAAUAUGCAGAAAUUUCACAGACAGAAAUGCAUCCUGAGGGGCAAAGAACCACUCUGGGGACCUAGGACAUUCACCUCAUCACUGCAGGAGGAUCUGCUAAGUUGGGGUCAUGUACACUGGCAGGAAGGGUACUCCACUCCUAUCCUGUGGCCCCUGGAUCAGCAUUUGUGAUGGUAUCAGUGCAGGCCGGAGGCCCCUGCUGCAGUCUCCAAAGGAAGUGGGAAAAUCUAGGGGCAACUUUAGUUGGCCUCUGAGAGCUGCUCAGAAGUGGGGAACCCUAUGGGAAAACACAGAACAGAUUUCCCCUUGUGGGGGACACAGCCUGAAGUGGGCUCCCCAGUAGGAUCUUGAGAAAUUCUCCACCCAAAGGGUCACAUCUGAGAUACAUUUGAGAUGCAUGGUGGUUCCCCCUCAUCUGCAGUUUCAGUUUCCAGUGUGUUACCUGUGGUCUACUGGGGUCUGAAAAUAUUACAUGGAGGGCUGGAGAUAUAGUUCAGUGGCAUAAGUGCCUGCCUGGCAAGCACAAGGUCCUGAGUUCAAUUCCUUGUACAAAAAAAUUUUUUUACAAGGAAACUUCCAUAUUUUGAGAGACAGGCAAGGAAUCUGUGUAAGAGUACAUUCAAAUAAAGUAACAGUUGUCUCAGUAUAUUAUAAUUGUUCUAAUGUAUUGUUAAUUAUUGUUGUGAAGCUAUUACUGUGCCUAAUUUACAAAUUACCUUUUAUCAUGGGUGUCUAGUGGGAAAAAUAGCACAUAUGAUUCAGCAUGAGCUGCAGUUUCUGGUUUCCCUGCUGGCAGUCUUGGGGUACAUCCUCACGAAUAAAGAAGGCUAAUGCAUUUCACUUCCCUUUACCCCACAGACAGUCAGGCAGCUCAUGGACCUACUAAGCCUCCUAGACAUUUUGCAGUUAAAGCACACACACGAGGCUGUUGGCUAUACUGACCAUCCUUUCUACCAACUGACUUUGGGAAAGAAGUUUCGGGAGCUUACAGUUUUCUGAGCACCUUCACACAUGCUAAGUACCUCACCUGGUUUUCAAAACAACACUGAGAGAUAAGUUUGCUCCUGCCUGUCUUACCAAGGGGGCUGAGAUGCAGAGAGGAUUGUAACUUGCCCCCUGCUCACGGGGGCAUUUAAAACAAUAGUUCAGCAGCAUAGUAACUGCCUGCAAGCAUGAGGCUGUGAGUUUGAUUCCUGGUACCAAAAAUAAUUAAAAUAAAAUAAAAUAAAACACUAUACAGGACUGCUCAUCCUAACAGAAAAAUUGAAUGCAUUUGAUGGAAUUUUUCUAGUAGUAACACCCCACUGAAAACAACAAAACUAAACAAAAGUUACAAAACCUCACCAAACAGGCAUGGCACCUAUUAUUUAUCAAUACCCUUUCAGCUCAGAUUACACUUACAAUAUUUACUAUUUAUGGAUAGCUCUUAGGCUGACAUUUGAAUAAUGAUGUUAUCACACAGAGACAAAACUGCACAGGCUCAGUGGGUGGGUUCUGUAAGCAAAUGGGGUUUAAAUCCAAGCUGCAUCUUUUAGCAGCUAUGUGAUUUUGGGCAAGUAACUUCACUUUUGUUGUGCUCAUGUUCCCCUCUGUAUAAUAGUCUCACAACUGUAUCAUUGGGUUACGCUGAUGGUUCAGUGAGAUAUUCCACGCAGGUGUAUCAGAAUGGUGUGGGACACAAAGGAGCUGUAUGAAGGUUAACAGCCACCCUCACCUUUGUCAUUGAUGAUGAUACUGUGUCAAGUCCAUUUGCCUUGAGAGCAUGCCUGGAUCACAGCCAAGAUGUUGCAGGCCUGGCUGGGGCCUCUCUAAAGCAACUGUGCAGCUUUGGGAAGCUCACUUAACUGCUCUGUACCUGGUGUCCUAGGGGCUUGGGGGACAGGGAUGGGAUCAGCAGCCAUCCAGCAUCAUUCAUGGAGUGAUUCCAAGCAUACAUAAAUCCAGGUUUUAGUGAAUUCUUAAUGUCCACCUUUGGCCACAGCAGAGGCAGGAGAAACCUGUGGAAAGAGGUUGGGUCAGCUCUGGGGAGCCUCUCUGCUAGCUGGGCUCUAGGAGCUCAGAAAUGCCCAGAGCUUCUGAGGCCAGUCCAGCAGUAGUAAUGAUGAGCAGUGAGAUGUCAUAAAGUGGCCUGGAAGCUGAGAGCAAGUCCCCAGCUGCGCUCAGAUCUGUGCUUUGUGGAACAAGGGUAACUUCCUGCUGGGAUUUACCCAGUUGCCCUUUGUUGAAAGUCAGAUAGAAAGUGGGUGUAGGUAUACUGUCUCAGCUGCUAUGUCUUGGAUAUCAGGUUCUUCCCUUUACCCUCAUGCAGGGCCAGCUGCAGCUCCCCAUGGUGCUCAGAGAGGACCCUUUCUCCUGGGCUGGCGAAGGAGCUGGCUCUUGGAGUGGACAGCCAUGAGUGUGUGUGUGUGUGUGUGUGUGUGUGUGUGUGUGUGUGUGUGUGGCCACUUCCUGGGAGGAUUAGGAUGCUCCCAAAUGGAAUUGGCCUACUGACUGCUUCGUACCAAGGCAAAGGUCUCCCACCCCUCCACAGUGGAACAGUCCCCUGACCCCCUUUGAGGGGGUUUGCUGAAUUGCUCAAUCGUAUAACUGUUCCAUGAAAAGCGGCUCCAUUCGUUCCAGCAGAAAGUUCUCAGGCACUUCUCAGGAAGGAUGGCCUGCAGCUCCUUGGGAAAGAUGCUGCCUCUUCCAUCGCUAACCUUAAUCCCCAGGGACUAGAACUGGCCAAGAAUGAAAGGGCUGAGCCUAUGGGGAAAGUAAAAUCCACAAAACCACACCAACCCUCUCCUCCCCCAAACCACAGCAGCAGAAAACAAAAGCAAACCAAACCCAACUAUCCUGAGCAACCCAGCGAGACUAGGGCAACUCCUUCCAAAACUGCUUCUCUGAAUUACCCAGAUAGAUAUAAAACCAGAGCACAGGACGACAGUUGGAACCAGAAAACUUUUAAUGUGUCAAUCGUGGCUUUCCAGGUUUCCUGCCCACAGUUCUGUGGCAGAGCUUUUUGUUUUGUUGUUUCCUCUGAACACUUUUCUUUGUCCUUGCAUGAACCUCUGGCCCACUUGAGUGGUCUGGGUAAGCCUAAAAUGAGUCCCUAAAUCACUUUCCAAAGGGUCUGCAGGUCACCAGGCCCUGGGUCAUUCAGAAUGGGGGCGCAGCACCCAGGAAUGGGGGAGGCAGUUCUGGCCGCAGGGAAGCCCUUCAUGGCGGGUCAGAGGUCAUGCAAGAUUGCACAAUUUCAACCUUUAUCUGUCUCAUGGAGGUGAUGGGGGAGGGGCUGGAGGAGGAGCCCCAGGCUGGAGAUGUUGAAUUAAACAAAUAAAUACCAGGGGUACCUGGCAACUCUCAGACUCACAGAAAGAAUAUGCCUGCUCUUUGGAGAUGGGGCUGCCUUGAAAAAGCCAACAGCCACCUUUCCUGGAGCUUUCAAGUUAGUCUGCAAAGACUCAUCCAUUCAUCCUGAAACUUUUCCCUGCAGUGCUAUGUUCAGUGGUGUCUUGAGAGCGAUACAGGGAAACUCGACCUAAAACCUUUUCUUGUGAUACUUAGAGGGAAAUGUUGGGGUCUUUUUGAUCCCUUGCUGAGGACCUGUUGAAGAUGCCAUCAUGCCCAGGAGUUCCAGCCUCCCAGUUCAUUUGGGUUCCUUUCAAUUAUAUUUUGCAUAGACUCUGCAUAGGGGACCCAGAAAUUAGGGAAUAGGCUCAGGUGAUCUAAACCCCCUAAGUGCUGCUCUUCUGGAUUUGUUGAUUCUGCUUAGUGAUGAGCUAAAUAGUGUUCUGAGCAGAAUGAGCAAGCUAGGGUGCUUGCUUCUAAGCACUUUAUAAUCAAGUGGCGAUUGCAGUGGCAUCUGUGCUCAUCACCCCAAACUGAAAUAUGCCCACCCCAUUUACAAGGCAGCUGGACCAUGACAAAGGCCAUAGGAGAAAGAAAGCUGGUACUGAGAACCCAAAGGGGGAGGAAAGGGUCACAAACAAAGGUCAACAGGAUGGCAUUUGAUGGGGAAUAGAAGGAAAAGCAUUCAUCCCGAGGGACAGCAGAGCAAAGGGGUAGUGAGGUGAGCCACACAGCCUAGGCCAAAAGAUUAGGUGGCUCACUGAGGUCCUGGGAGGGGCAGUGGGGAACAUGACCCCACCCAGAAACUCUUUUCCACUACCUGACCCCCACCACUUACGCUUGAAUUUUACAAGGAGCCAGGAAGCAACAAAUUACAGUCGAGCAAUACAAUGAAGGCAGGGGUAUGUGCACUGGGGAGAGGCCUUUCUAUAACUCAUCUCAGGAGAAAAGAAGGGUGAGGAGAGGGAGAGGAAGCCUUUGCUAGCCCAGCCCAGACCUUUGCAGGGCUGUAGGCACUCAUUUGUGGGCUUGUCAUUGUGACACUGUGUCUGCCCUCCUUAAAGCCAUACAUCUUACUUUCAAGCCCUCCAGUGGCCUUCGACCCCUUGGGAACCCCAGUGUUCUCAGGAUGACCUUUGGCAGGGAGCUGCCUCCCCUCCAAGGCUGGUGGAAGGGACAUGGCACCUCCUGUGCUCUGGCCUUCCUUGUUCCCAGAUUGCCAGCAAGAGUUUUUUCUUCUCCAGGAAGGAGUAGUGCAUCUGACUCUUAAAUCCUGAAAAGCCAAUCAGCUGGAACUUCCAGAAGCCUUUUAUUAUAAUUUCAUAUGUCUUCCUUUACCUCCAAGAUCUGAAGGUCCUCUCAGAGUGACAAGGAGGUUUUAAGUCUUUAGGCUUAAAGACUGUGCAUGGUCUUCCUUAUUAUGUCAGGAAUGGCACUUCUCAGACUUCAUCUCCUGCCUGUAGCAUGAAAAUAACACGUCCACUGUUGGGCUUGGGCCUCAGGCAGGCAGGCCUGAGGUGCAGUCCUUUAUAGUGGCUUCUAACCUGGAUGAACUGGGCCAAUCCCUCUGCUUGUCUGAGCCUUGAUCUGCAACAUGAUCCAUUUUAGCAUUGCCGUGAGCGGGUACCACUCCUAACCAGCAGCCAUAACCUGGUGAGGAAUUUCACUGGUAGAUUAUGUAAAACUUUUAGGCACUAUUUUACUGUUGAGGCCCAGUUAUCUGGAGGAAAACCAGAGAGCCCCUAUGUCGAGGUAUAUAGCCAUAUUCUCUCUGGCACGCAGCUUCUGACCCUUCCUUUGUUGUUCCAGAUCAUAUAAAAGCUGGCAUCGCCCCAGCAGCCUCCUGCGUGGAAAGAGGCAUCUAAGCCCACAGGUGCACUGGGAACAGCCCAGAAAGAGGCCAUUGCAUCUUAAGUUCCCCGGCCGCCCCUACUGUGUCUGCUCUUCUCCAUAUUAGUCACUGCUUUGGCUGAAUGUGUGGAAGACCCCUAUUAAACCCAAGUAGUGUCUGGGAAACACAUUAAGGCCUUAACAGCUGGAUACAAAUUAGUUUAUCAGACAGGGCCUGGGCAUGCAGAAGUUAGGAGUGAGGAGGAGCCUCACUGUAAAGAAAGUGGGUCCACGCACAGACAGCCCCUGACCAGCGAGGCAGCCAUAGGACCAUUGGGGAUGCCAGGCCCACUCUGUGGUCAGCCCCAGCAAGGGCUCCACAAUACUGGAACCCUGCACCUCCCUCCCCUUAGAAUAACAAGAGAGACUACUCUCAAGGGGUGAGCCAAGCUGUGUGUAUGCAUGGAGUGAGGGGGUGUCUCUGCCCGUGAGGGUCAGCACUGAAGUCUCAGGUGCUGGCUUGGAACAGAAGACUGGGAGCUGAAAAAGAGGCCAGCGGCUGGGAGGACCCACACUUCUGGGCAGAGCUACAGAUGAUCAACACAGGUUGAUGUCCUUCCUGUAAUUCACAUCAAAGGCCCUGGUGGCAGAUGACAGGAGCAGGAGGAAAAAGAAAGGCUUUGGGAAAGACAGUACUGGGAAUCGAACUCAGGACCACACGCUUGUAAGGCUGGCGCUUAUGCCGCUGAGCUAAAUCCCCAGCUAGUUUGGUAGAUAUUCAAUAACUCUCCAAGGUAUAAGGUUUUAAGGGACAACUUCUGCCUCUGCAGAUCCACGGGGUCCUGACACCUGCUUGGAAGAGGUAUUUGCUGGGCUGGCCCUGCACUGCUGAACUACAUCCUCAGCCCUAGUUGGCAGGUUUUAAGACCACUUUUUAAAAGAUUAGGAUCAACUCAUUCCCUCUCUCAUUUUGAACACCUUGAACUACUGAAAGGGAUGUGUAGCAAGUUAAUGCCGAGUUCCGAUCCUGAUGGCGCUGGUGGGGAGAGUCUGGGUUCGCAUCCUAAGUGUCUCUGUUCUCUGUUGCAAAGUUUUGCUGUGGGAGCCUGAAAGAGCCUUUCAGGAUACUAAAAGUCGUUAGGGGCCCUUGGGGCCAGAUUAGAGGGUGCUGGGCCCUGGUCCCGGGAGGGGCAGGAAAGUGACUGAUCCUCCAGGGUCUCCCAGGAAAGUCUGCAGCAGGUGGAGGUGGCUGGAGAGCAAACAAAGGCCGUUUCUGCCUGGCCCGUCCCCUCCUCCCGCUAGGGCCGCGGAUGUCCUUUCUCUGGUAGCAGCCAGGUGUGUUUGAAAACACCCAACCGGUCCUUCACAUAGGUCCUUCACGUAGCAGGAAAUAAACUUUGCCAGGGAGGGACGCGUGGGUGUGCGCACAGGGGUGCGGUGUGGUGCCGGUGCACCCAUUCUGCAGCCGCAAUCCAACUGCGCCCGGGGCAGCUGCUGCGGGACAACCUGGGUGAGCGCGGUACAGGUAGAAAACCGGGAUGACGCCGAGCACGCGUGGGGAGAGGCUCGGGCCGGCGGCGCGGGCGCGGGCGCGGGCCGGGCAGCCACUGCCUGCGCGCCCGGAGCCCCCUCUCCGGAUCACACCCUCCCUCCUGCCCCUGGCUGUCCCGCCCACCCGCGCCCUCCUCCUAAGAGUUAAGUACCUCCUCGCUCCGAUCUUCUCUCCGGCUUUCCUCCACCCGCGCUGGCGGCCAGCGGCCCCGUGGAGGCACUGGGGCCCACGCGGGCAGCGGGGCCAGCGGAAGCACGGGGAGCUGAGCUCCCGGCCCCUGCGCCCCCAGAACCCUAGUGCACCGGCUCCCCUGCGCCCCGAGUGCGGCCUCGGGAGCAGCGCAGCGCGUAGCUGAGUGAUUGGCGCUGGGGAGGCCGGGCCGCGCCAAGACUCGGGCUAGGGAUGCCCCAGGGACAAGCGCGGGACCCGGGCCACAGCAGGACCUGGCGCGCGCGCAGGCAGGUGCCUAGCAGCCGCCGCCUCCUCCUUUCCUGCUCUUCCGCUCGCCCAGAAGUAAGAUGAGCGUGAUGCUGUGGCGCUGGGAACAGAAUAACACCACCAUGAAACUGGUAAGGGGGCAGCGCGGACUCCACGCCGGGCGCUGCUCCACUCCCCCCCCCACCCCCGUCCCCCAGGGCCUCUGGAGGAAUUGCGUCCUUUGGUGGAAAGCCCCGGCUACUCGGUAUUUCCCUUGUUGUGAAGAUCUCAGGGUGUGUGUGUGUGUGUGUGUGUGUGUGUGCUCGAAAGGGUGGGGCUGGGUCGCCCCACCUCUGCCGUCCGUCCCUUCGUCGUAGGAAUUCCUGUGGCUCCCAGGCUGCAUGGUGGCCUCCUGGCUGAGCAGAGUCAGCGUGGUCUCAGCUGCCUGCCCAGCACACAGCCCGGCCCACAUUGUAUCCGGACACCUUGGCCAUGCCCCUCUAUCGCCAUGGGGGCAGAGGAUGAAAGGGCACUCACCCGGGGCUCCUCUCCCGCCUCUGCGUGGGUCUUCCUUCCCUGUCCAGCAUGUAAAGAACCACUUAAGCUUUCAGGUCCCCUUUCCUCCUGUUUUUAGAAAUCCACUGUUCCUCCCUCUCCUGCUGCUGCCUCCAGAAGCCUGAGUUCUUUCCCCAUCACAAGCCGGAGACAGGAUCAAGGCUCUUCUCUGGGUUUUGCUUUUGUGGUUUGUUUUUGUUUGUUUGUUUCCCAGUCAAAUAAUUUGGCUCCCCUACUCCAGUCAGCCAGGGAAAUCAGUUGAAACCACUUUGGAUCUUUCUUGAUAGGCAAAGGUGGCAGGCACUCACCUUGUAGAGCCGGUGCCAGGAUAAGAAAUCACAUUUGUGGACUAGACAUGUACUAAGGACUAAAGAAAGAGUAGGUUUCGAGGGUUUUUUUUUUUUUUUUUUUUUUUUUGGUGGUAUUGAGAGUUGACCCCUGGGUAUCAUACCUGCUGUACAAACACUCUAGUGCUGAGCUACAGCCCUUUUUAAAAUUUUAAGACAGGGUCUCCCUGUGUUGUCCAGUGUAGCCUCUGCCUCUGGAGUAGUUGGGAUUACAAUGUGCAUGGCCCUGCCCAGCAGGAGUAUGUAUUAAUAAACUGGAAUCCACACUGAUUGGGGUAAGCUUUUGAAAGAUGCUAUCAAAAAAAAAAAAAAAUCACAGCAGUUGUGUUGGCUACCAACACACUAAAUCAACAUAAGUCCCAUUUGUUCAUGUAACGAACUUAGGUGUUGGAAAAAGUGGCACCUUGUUUUUCACAUUCCUUGUGUUACGUUUGGCCAAUCUGACUUUAAGCUACUAUUUUACAGCACCAUUUAAUGUGCUGUAACGUUAGCAGACGUUAUGCACCUUCACUCAUUGGACUGUGUCGUGAUUCCAGCUCUCUAAUCCUUUCCUGGAAUCCUUCUCCUCCCAGGCUGCUCUGGAGAGCUCAGAGUUUCAUUCAUUUCUCUCCAAGCUGUACCUAAAAUGCCUCUGUAAUAGGUACCGCAGCAAAGUUGGGUCCUGGCCUCACCAGACAGGUUGCUAGACCUAAAGACUUUUAAGAAAAAAUGAAACAGAGUAGUGAUUUGCCAGGCAGGGACCCAUGGAGCAUCCCCUGGGAUGGCUGUUGGAUCAUGGGGCAGAUGGCACCAUUAGGUCUGAGAUGUCCUCUACACUUCAGUACUGCAGCCAUUUGUGUAAGGAGGGGUGAUUUCUUCUUUGUUGUUCAGAGGUCAGCCUUUAUUGUGUCUGUCUGUGCCUUUAGACCUGUCCCACUUUUCAAACUAACUGUGAGAAGCACCUAAGGUAGUUGUGGUCCAGUAAAGCACCCUCAAUCUGUCAGGCAGGGGAGGGGCUGGAGGGGGUGUAAUAACCUAGAAGUAUAUGGGAGACAACAGUUGCUGUUCUGUGUGCCCCACAGCCCCAGAACCCAGGCUGGACCAGGUGUGGCUAGGUCUUGACCUUCAGAGCCUAGGCUAUGCGCAAGACAGGUCUCAGCUCAUCUGCAGAAUCCUAGGAGCCAUGGAUGCAUCACGAGCUGAUGCAUCCUGAGUUUGCUUUUUGUUCAUUGUUAGGGGCAGACUGAUUUGUCAGUUGCUUGCUGUGUGUAUGCCCCAAGCAGAACACAGUUUGGCUGGAGAACCAAGUUAUGCUCAUCGUAAAAGGCUUAGCUGGCGAGUGGUUAUUGGUUUGAAUUCCAGUCUUGCCACUUACGAGUCCCUAAAUCUAUUUUUCUCAUUCGUAAAAUAAGUUUACAGUACUUUUUCCCAAGUAGUGAAAGAAGAAAUGAGAUAAUCUCAUAACAGGACCAGCACGGAGUCUCGAACAUGGGUGUCUCUUAAAUCGGAACAACUAUUACUGUGUUAUUAUUUUCUUCAAGUGUAAAUGAUCAGUGUUGGUCCCCACCCUGUGCUGUGCUGGUGGUUGAGUGAUUUGUUCUCAUGGACUGGGAGAAAACAACUUUUCUUACCUUUGGAUCAUUAGUGGACCUCGGCAGGAAGGAACACCCUGGGAACAUCUUUUUUUUUUUUAUCAGUACCAGGGAUCGAACUCACGACUGCCUGCUUGCAAGGCAGGUGCUUAUGCCGCUGAGCUAAAUCCGCAGCCCCCCUUGGGAACAUCUUAGAAAUCAAUUGUGUGUGGAGACAGCCCCAGAAUGAGGCCCGGGGCUGGAGGUGGGUGCCGGAACUUUUAUCACUGAUGCAGUUCAAUAAACAUAAAGUCAGUUAACUCACAGCUUGAACAUUCACUGUUCUGGUUGAACAGUGGAGCUAAAGGUUCUGCUUUGUGUUUUAUUUUAAAGUUCAUUGGAUUUGAAAGAAAAUAAUAAAUAAAGCCAAGAGUAAUUAAAAGCAGAACUUGCAUCUGGGUGUACUAUCUCUGCAGGAGAAUGUCAAAAAUGCACCUGCCCACCCGGGAUAGAAGGCCAGGAACUGUAGCUCCUAUUUCAAAUGCAACAGGGUCACAGGCCUUUGAUGAAAGAGAGAGGAGGGGACCACUCAGGCCUGAAGCUCUUGCUGGGAGGAGACAACUCUGGAUGCCCUACGUGGGUGGUUCCGAUAUCCUUAUCACACCUCUGCUGCACCCCACCCCAUUUUGUUAGAUUCUUUGGGCUUAGACAGGGCAAGGAGAAACCAACGAGGAGACUCCUGGAGCAGUGUGUGCUCUCUGAGAAGUGAGAGAACCUAAGGUUGGUGAGACAGAAGCCCUAAGACAAGCCACCAUCACUGUUUUCCUGGUGCCAGCGCCUGGUGUUCCAGCAGGGUGCCUGCAGUCGGCGCUCUGCUCAAGGGCUCCUGGCCCUGUAUUGUGAGACCAGUUGCAUAGCUUCUUCCAGCCUUGGUCUCCUCUGCUGUGCAUGGGAAUCCUAGCACCUUGUAGAAACCAGCACGUUGGAGCUCAGGGUCCAGCCAUAAGCUGGUGGGAAGCUGGUGAUUGCUGUUAGGAUUACACAUGGGCCGUGGAGAGGUCCUGUCUUGCUGCCCUGAGCAGACUCAAUUGCAGUACAGUACUCCCAAAGCCUAACUGCACACAGGUCGGGUAGGGAAGAUAUGAGGGUUUGGGAAGGGGGUGUUUUAUCUUAUAGUACAAAUUUUGGAUAAAAAUACUGCUAACAUAACCAUAUUAGUAGCUAGCAUGAGUUGCAUCUUGAAAUGUGUGAUUCAUUUCAUCUUCUCUUCAGCUCCUACAGUCCCAUUCUCCAGACAAGGCCUUUAAGGCUCGAAGAGUUCUGUGACUUCCCUCAGCUCCACACAGUUGAGUGUGCAAGCAGGGCGAGUGCUCCUCUCUAGGGACCACUCUGUGACCUGCGUGCUACCCACGCUGGUCCAGGAGAUACUGGGAUCAAAGAGAGGAAAUCUGGGGUGGGAUGGGUCGGCACCCUUCAGUGUCCAGAAAAAACACUUAGGGGACCCUUCCUCCAAAGGAAGGAGAAAGUAGCCCUAAAUGAAGAAUAAUUGAGAAUAAUGAGGAAGAAGGAAUGUGCCUCUGACCCUUGGCCUUCCCCUGAGAGGCAGGGACCCCCUGGCCUUCUACAGCCAGGCUAACAAGUAGGUCAAAAGAGGUCAGUGGGUUAAAGGGCCCUGCCUUUCUGCGGUCACAUUGCUCACUCCCAGAGGCCAGGCUGCUGUUUAAAAUACUAAUGUUUAAUGUUCCUACAGAACUGAUGGCAAGCCUUUGAGAGCUUUCAAUGAUAUAAAAAGCCCACUGUACCAUGCAAUUUUCCCGUUUCUCUUUUUCUGUCGCUGCCUCAGUUCUUCUCUCCCUUCCUGCCAGCUGUGAUGACUUAUAAAUUCAAAUACAAAUGAUACAUAUUUAACUCAUUCAAUGCAGUGGCUCUUGAUAUAUAAUGUACUGUGAAAUGAUUGCUCCCAUGCUGGGCAUGAUAGUGCAUACAUGUAAUCCAGCACUCUGGAAGGCUGAGGUAGGAGGAUUACAAAUUUGAGUGCAGUUUGGGCAAUUUAGUAGUUUAUUGAGACUUUGUCUGGAAAAUAAAAAAUAACAAAGGGGAUGGUGAUGUAGCUCAAUGCAAAAGCCAUGGAUUCAAUUUUUAGUAUUGUCUCCCCCACCCCCCAAAAAGAAAGAUUAUCACUGUAAUUAACAUUUCCAUCACCUCACUUCAGGUGCUAUUCCUUUUUAUAUGCAUACAGUCUCAUCUCAAUUUAUGCUUUUCUUCUGAAAAGUUCAUUGACACUCACCUGAAAAUAUCAGUAAUUUCACUUUCUAGAGCUUUCUUAUACUUUCCACUAACUGUAUCUGGCAUAGAUUUUGCCACCUUUCAGAUAUUGAAAACAUAUCCAUUUUCUAUUAAGUCUCCACAUCUCAAGGGCAAGAAAUUCCAUCCUUUCCUCAAGGAACCAAGUUGAAAUACAUGGGAACAUUUCUGUCUGACUUUCUGCUGUAGGUCAUGAGCCUGCAGAAAAAAAUGUGCUUUUCAGAAUUGAAACUACAGCGUGAAAGACAGGUUCUGACUUUGCUUAAUGCCUGGGAGGAUGAUGGUUGGGACAGCUGAGGGAAAAAGAGCAGAACCCUGAAAUUAGCAAGUGAGGCAAUACAUUUUCCUUCAUUUUUAUAUUAAUAGAAAUGUAGACAUCUACAGUUGGUCCCUCUGGUGACCCAGCAGUGCUUCCAUUAUUUAUAUAGUUGUUUUUAAGUGGAAAUUGCAAAAAAUAAGUCUUAAAAAUUUUGUCCUGGCUUCUAUUAGAUAUGCCACCCACUUGGAAGACAUGGCUAAGGCUUUCUUUGACAUCUUUAAUGUCUCCAAGACAUGUGAACGAUAAGGUAUGAUCAAAAUCUAUGGUGAGUGUUUAAAUUUUUAAAAAUCUAUCACAGUAAAAGACACAGUGCCAUUAAUCCCACUCAAGGUACAUCCCUCCCUUUGAACAUGCUUAUCCCAUCAUUUUUGCCACAUUCUGAAGCAGUUCGAGAAGUCCUCUCUCAUGAGUGUCUUUAGUUGUGUUGUCAUGGCUGCCUUGAUAUCCUGAAUAAAUUCCAAAGCUUUACCUUUCGUGGUCGUGUUGACUCAGGGGAAGAGCCAGAAGUCACACAGUACCAGAUCCGGUGACCAAGGUGGAUGAGGACACCCCGUGUUUUUGUGAGCCUGCCUUUCCACUGGCUGGCGCUAGGCAGUAGGAUUCACUCUGUUAUGUAUCACAGCUCAUAAAGACAGCCCUGAAAAAGGACUUCCAGACCUGCUUCAGAAAGUGGCAGGAACCAUGGGAUAAGUGUGUCCCAAGCAAGGCAGGGAGCACUUUGAGGGACAUUAAUGUCAUGUGUCUAACUAUACCAAUUUUACAAAUUUAAACAUUCACUCUGUGUUGUGAUCACACCUUGCUGACUGCUGUCAUCCAGGCAGGAAUCAUCCUAAGGGCUCUUCCUGCUCCAGGGCUCUUCCCAAGUGUUGUUCUGAUCCAGAUGUCACUGUAGCUAUGCUGGCCAUGGAGUCAUAGUCACGGAGGUUGAGAAUCAGCAGAGAUGUCCAACUUGCCACUGAGAAUAGGUUAUGAAACAAAAGCUCAGAACUAGUUGAUGGAUAUUUUCUAAACAGCAUAACAAGAAGGAGUGAUCAGGAUAUUUGGGAAGGCUGAGAAGUAGGAGAGAAUUUUCCUGCCACUAAAAAUAAUACUGAUGACCUCUGGUCAUAAUAGCAUAGGGUGUGACAAGGGUGAGCACCUGCGUUAUCCAUUGUCUGCAUCACAGUGAAAGAUGAGCUGUGUGUUUACCAGGUACCUGGUAGGACCCAAAGCAAAACCAAAUCUAUAAGGAAACAAGGUGCUUUACACAGAGAUUUACCUGUUCAAGCAUGUGGUUAAGAGAAUCAUUGUUUGCAGAGGUUUCCAGGACAGGAUUUAUUCCACAGUUCCAGCUCCUGCCCGUUCUCUGGCCUUGACACUAAUGAGAAGCUUCAGGAUUCAGGACUCAGGCUACGUGUCAUAUCCAUGCAGAGACCGUUCAUGGGAUCCUGCUUGCUAGUCCAUGAAUUCCUGCCCCUCCUUAUAUUCUAGGCCCAGUGGGUGAUGGCUGUGUUUUAGACCUUCUUCUACUCGGCCUCCGGGUAGGAGUGGUUCCUUCCUGUGUGUAUGGUCAGCUGGUGGUUUCUGUUUUCACUGCUCCUUCCACCUGCCCAUGUGCUGCCCCAUCUUCCAAAGCUCAGAAGCUGCUUUACUCCUCGGAAGCCCCUCCUGGCUACUCUGUACCCCAGAAACCGUGACGGGCAGUGGUGCGGGCUGCCCUAAAUCCUUGAGUGUUUGCUGUGUGUGCUGUACCUCUGCUUUGACACUUCCAGUAGUGACUGGACACACAGACACAGGGACAGAUGACCUCUGUUUCUUCCCAACUCUGCUGCCAACCAUCAGUGUCCCCUUAGGAGGACAGUCUCUGUUUCAGUCUCCCCACCUGUGAUGGGAAGACAAUUUUACUCAACUUGGGGUCGUGGGGGUCAUUUGUUUUUAGAAUAGCAUUAAAUACAUAAAUAAGUGUCAGCUAUUGUUCUGGUGCUGCUCAACAAAUGUUUUUGAAAUACAUGCUACAGAUGGGGAGCUCUCCUCAUAAAUAAAAAAUUCCCUCUGUUGAAUUUAUAUUUUAGUGGAGGAAACACAUGAUAAGCAGGAUACAUAUAUUUUUAUGGUGCUGAAAGCUAUGGACAAAAAUGUGGCAGAGUAGGAUAGGGAGACGGGAAGAGGUCAGUCCCUAAAGGAGGGCAGGGAAAGAGGGCUUUAUUGUCAAAGUGGUGUGGCUGUGUGAUAAUCAUUAUCACUCCUCAGGGAGGCAUUAUAAGGAGGUGACUAUAAUUUAUUAUCCACACCAGGAUGCUUCUGAGAGUGAAAGGGGAUGGUUUUACUAAUUGCGGUGAGAUAUAAUUGUAAAUUGGUUCUGUCUUAAGCAAACCAAAUGCAUGCAGCACUAUGCUUGGUCACUGCAAAGUCUGAGAGACAGGGUGGUGUCCCAUCUAGAUUCAAAUCCUGAGUUCUUCCCUUUAAGCUGUGAGAUCGUGGGCAAAUCAUUUAACCUCUUUGCACCUCAGUUUCCCUGUCUCUUAUAUAUACCUAAUCGGGUUUUUUUAAUAAAGGAAUUAAAGUGCUCUGUACAGAACCUGACACUUAAUAAGCAACCAGUAAAAAUUCAUUACCACCACCACCAUCGUCAGAUCAAAAUGAAGAGAGAGCUUUUUCCUCAACUCUCACAGUGCCCGGGAGGGGUUGAGGGUCUGCAAGGUGGGCAUUAGCUCUGGAAAUGUAGCUGAGCAGUGGAUUUGGGAGAUGAAUAGUUGUCUCCUUCCAUUGCUAAAGAGUGUAAGAAUGACAAGUGUCUGGACUGGACGCAGAGGCCAGUUGGGGGGCGCUCCCCCCAGUUGUGGUCAGGCAGCCACAAGAGGAGUUGCUGAAUAGAGUCCAGCACUCAGGAUCUCACUCCUCGGACGUGAGUUCAGGAAGAGGCCCGUGACAAGAGGCCUCCAAUCCUCCACUGCACCACAGAGCAAGGAGGGACCUAGAGAACCAAGCGACCCACCCACAGUCUCUGACCCAUUUCAAUGCACCUGCCUUUAUUAUCCUACAGGAUAAUAAGAAUGAGCAAAGAUAGCGCUUAGAAUUCCACCUGGAAAAGCUGUGUUCUUUGGAAAUGGGCCGCAGAUGACGUAACCCUAAUAGAUCCCAUUACUUGAUACUUGGCUAAUCUUUGUAUGAAACUCGUCUUGGUGAAACGCGAGCCUGGAGAAGCCAAUGAAAGUAUAUUACUUUCUCCUUAUUGAAUGCCUCCUAGACUUGGGAUAACAUUUAAUCGAAAGCGUAAGGUGAUACUUCCUGAGAUAGCAGUGAGUUCAUGUUUGGAAAUUAAAUGAAAUGAGUUUGUUGCAUCGGUUGGCUUUUUUUAAAGGCCUACCCGUGGUUGUAAAUGUUCUCUCCACAAAGAAAUAUCUGGCUGCUGCAUGGAAAGGAGUGGGGAGCUAGAGAGGUUGUAGUUUUCGGUCCUUUGAAGUUGUUUUGCUCCUCUCUUGUGAGGUACUAUUCCAGGUUGAGCCAUUUUUAAAUUGAACCUUUUUUAUUUUUCUAUUAGGAGUCAAACCUGGGCUUUUGCAUUGAACUGUAUUUCCAACCCCCUUCGUGUUUUUUAUUUAAAGACAGGGUUUUGUUGAGUCACAAAGUCGCUCAAGUCGGGUUUGAUCUUACAAUCCUCCUACCUCAGCCUCCCAAUGUGUACUACCAGCCGGGUUAUGAGGAUGCACAUUUGAAUAGAAGUUGAAUACCAAAUAGGUUUGUCUUUGGUUGUGUUUCCUGAACACAUACCGCAUGCUCUCUGCCCUUUUCCUUCACAAGGUGUUAAUGCUCAGUAAAGACUGCACACUUACCUUAUACCAGUGGACCUCCUUGGACAGUAAGUUGGUUCCGGGUCUCCUGGCUCUGGCUACAGUUUGGUUCCUGCCAGCAGAGAUCCACUGCAGAGUCCAUGUUGGUUGAGUGUUUUGGUUCUGUAGCCCAGCUGCUUGGCAUGUCCUGGAUGGUGGCAGGUAUUCCAGGAUUAUUUUAAAUACUUGCUUCUAGGUGAAUCCCCAGACAGAUUAGGCCUAGGAAACAUGAGAAUGCAGAGAUCCACCUGGUCUCCACCCUUUGCCUGCCUCUUCCACUCUCUGUCCCCUUUACCUCCUUUCUCUUACACCCAUUCUCAGAAGAGAACACCUGUACCCUACCUCCCGUGUAUGGCCGUGGCACUCCCAGGUGGAGAGGCGAAACAGAGAAAGAACACCAGAGGGGCCUGCUGGAAGUAAAAGAGACUGUGUAGCAUGGGAUGCCUGCCUUUAAACACAGUCAGGUGAACUGGGCUCCAGCAGAGUCUGAGUGGGGGUUUUGCUGAGACCCCUGCAGAUUACAAAGCCUGUGAUGUUCUCAGUCCCUAUAAAAAAGAUCAUUUUUGCAUAAAACCUAUCCACAUCUUCUUGUAUGCUAUAAAUCUCUCUAGAUUACAAUUACUUGUACUACCAAACACAACUUAAAUGCUGGGUAAAUAGUUGUUCUACUAUAUUAUUUAGAGAAUUAUAACAAGAAAACAUCUGCACGUUUGUUACAAAUGGGAUUGUAUUUGGAAUAUUUCUGUGCACUGUUGGUUGAAUCCUUAGAUAUAAAGAACCAAUCAUGCUACCCUUUGCCUGCCCUGGCCUGGCCCUGUGUAUGGAAAAGAGUGACUUAGGUUUGAGGAGAAGGCUGGAAAACUAACAGACCAUCUUUCUCCUGGAAACCUAAAUGGAAACAGAGGGAAGACGUGAGAAGUCCCAUUCUUCCCCAGCGAGGUUUCCUGCUGCCAGGGUCUCCGCACAUUAGCUGGGGCAGCUAGAGGGGCACAGAGUGAACAUAUUGCUGCAGAUGACUCCACAAGACCUGAGAGGCAGCUGCUGAGUCCUGCCCAGGACACAGGCAUCACCCAGAGGUCACAGAUAAAGCAUAUCAGGGAUGAGAGGGAGGUUCCCUGACUAAAGCAUUGAUUUUAGCAACAAAAAGAGCUCAGUCCAAAUCACUGCAAGCUUGGAGAGAUUGUUUAUCUGUGCUUCGGUGUUUCUAUUGGGAAGAUUAGUAUUAUUCCUUAGGAAGCUGGAAGUCUUAAAGAGAUACCUGAGGGACAGUAAAUGACAUACCUGGGAAGGUUCUGGAAAGUCCAGAAGCUGAAUUCAGACUCAGCCAGAAUGGGGUGUUUUCAGAGAAGCCCCCCCGCCAAGUCCUAGAACUUGGAGCAGGGCUGGGAAAAGAGGCAGAAUUUGCUGUAGGAAAAAGGAAUGAUUGCAAGUGGGGUGAAUAAAAAGUGUAAAAGAUUCAUGUUUUCUUGGUUUUAAGACAUUUCUUUCAUAAUGCCACUAGCAGGAAAGUGGCUUCUGAGUCCUAGGUUCUCCUGGCUCAGUGGAAAAGGACUCUCUCCUCCUCUCCUUUGGACCCUAGGUGCCAGGCCUGCUUCUAACUCCAUUCCAAGUAGAGUGGUUCGAAGGACAAUUUAACGUGAAUACUUCAGAUUUAAUGUGUCCCAGAUGCACUACACAUAAGCUCUCAUCCUGUGCCCCAUCCCCAUUCUUCCCUUUCCUGCAAAAUAAGGCUUCUUAGCGUUGGUGCUGAGUGACAUUUGAGGUCAGGUACUCUUUUGCUGUGGGAAGCCAUCCUGUGCACUGUAGGAUGUGUAGCAGUACCCUGGCCUCUACUCACUGGGACUUGCUUAGUGAUAACACCCUUGAAAAAUGUUUCCAGAACUUUCUUGGUUGAGAUUUCCUGUAGUAAAUAAUCUCACCUGUUAAGCUUGAGCCUUUGUCUUUGAUUUCUCCUCAACCACAUUCUUUUGUUCCAGGAGAAAAUACUUUUGUUUGAAACUCCCCAGUAGACCUGAGCCCUGAUAUCUCUAUCUGCAGAGGUCUCCCUGCUGGUCUCCAUGGUUUCACUGAUGUGGCUUCCUGCCUGUUGUCCAUACAGCACCAGAGCUAGGCAUCAGAUAGGUGCUCAGUAAAUAUCUAUUGACUAAAUAAAUGCAUUCAUCUCUUCAUUUCUCCUGACAUAGAGAGGUGUCAUUUCUCUCGUGUAAAACCAGAAACAGCAGAUCUCUGAAUUUAACCUUCCAAGAAAUUAAGUAAUAUGCCAGCUUUCUUCUUUGAGCUUCUCCAGACCAUUAGCACCCUUCCUACUGAAUACAAAAUGCCCAAGAAAUCAUUACUGAGUAGACAAAUGACUCAUGCUUACAGGAAGUAUUUGGGGCAUGCUAACAGAUUAAAAUGAACAGCAUUAAGCAAAUAGUAGAAGCAUAAGGAUCCAUUCUUUGAUCUUUUCAAACCUUUGGCAUAGAAGCUUUGGUCUCUUGCUUCCAACUCUGAGGUUAAGACACUGAUGCUUCAUUGUUAUUUUAGCUUUUAGAAGUAACUGGGGCACACAGAGGGCACACAGUCUGGGCCCUUGGUUGCCAUGUAGUAAAAUGCUGACUUGAAUCAAGACACCUAUGAAAAACAGAAGAGAAUCCAGUCACAUUGGUACUCAGGUCUCAUCUUGGGAAUGCAUCAGUCAACAGGUCUUGAUUCGACACAGACAAAUUUCAUAUCCUCUGAGGAUUUACUAUCCAGGAGGAAAGAUAAAGACUUCGUUGGUUAGGGUAGCAUAUAAUCAUGCUAAACAGCACAGCACUGUUUUGAACAUCUUUUUGAGUUGCUUUGAAAAAGUAUGGAGGCCUUUUGCCCUUUCUGGACCAGACUGAGCUGUAGGAAGCAUGGAGAAGUAAUGAAGAUUCUUUACAUUCUCAGACUGCUUUCUGGGAAUCCCGCGAAGUCCCCACUUCUUCUCUGGUUACCCUUCUCAUGGCUCGGUUCAAGAGCAUUUUGCAAACCUGGACUUUGAAUCUGGGAAAAUGCUUUAUGACCAUUUUUAUGACUUCAGAGAAAUUCACUAAGGCAAGUUAUUUCCUCAUCUUUGCCAAAGGGAGGAAACUUAAGGGCCUGGUCAGUUGCCCAGGAUCUCCCAGGCUCUGAUGCUCACUUGCAGUGGCUCUUGUGAGCCUGGCCACAUGCUGUCCCCUUCUAGUAGAUGUGCUCUGGCUGCUUGGGGAGGGGCCAGUCAGCAGCUGCAGCCUACAUUGUUACGGACUCCAUGUCUUCCUCAGGAAGGAGGAAAGCCCAGUUCAGAGAACCGUGCACCCUCCAAGCUGCAAGCUUCUGAUGCUGAGUUCUGGUCCCAACCAACUCCUUUAAACUUGGGCCAACUGACAUCCAGAGAGGGAAAGUGAUUUGCUUAAGGUCAUAGCCCUGUCUCUGAUUUCCAGCCCAGUGCAUAUUUUUUUAUUCCAGCACUGUUGUCUCUUAUUAGAAAAUAACCUCAGUACCAUGAGUGCUUAUUCUCAGAGGCAGAACAGAAUAGUGAGCUGGACAAAGGCUUUUUAAAAUGUGAAGUACUUUUUGAAGAUAACUAUGCGAAAUAACAACCUUUGUUAAGUUCCUACCACCUUGUUUUGAAAACCUAUAUUGUUAUUGCUUGGGGGAGGUUUGUUAUUAUUAUUUAUGUCUCUUUUGUUGCUUGUAUUUUUUGUUUUGGUUUUCCCCUCUUUAAAAUAAUAAUAAUAAAAAAUGUGAGGUACUUGGGGUAAUGGUUAGAACCAGGCCUCCGCUAGGCUGCCUCAGUUUCCAUUCCAGCCCAGCUCUUCUUCGUGGUGUCCCUUUGCUUGGUUCAUUGGGGGUGUCAGUUUUCUUCAUCUGUGAAGUGGGGGGUAAUCAGAAUUCCCCCCAGCCUGCUUUUACAGGAAGGAUUAAUGAGCUAGCGUGUUGCAAGGGCUCAGAACCCUACCCACCACAGCACUAGACCACAGAAAUGUCACUCACCAUAUCUUUGAGUCCCAAGUGUUGUUCGCUGGCUCUGUGACCCUGGAAAAGCUACUUGACAACCCUGAACCUGGCUUCCUCCUCUGUAGGAAUAAUCCUGGCCUAGGUGGUAGAACAGAUUAGUGAUCAUCUGUCCUGGCACCUCUUUGUAUUUAAUGGUCGCAUUUUCUCCUGCCUCCCAAAAUAUGCAAUGUAGGCCUGACAUGGGCCCCCGAGAGGACUCUGAGGGCUGGGCCUGCUCCCUGGUCUAGGGAAGACCUGCAGCUUCAUUUGCUUCCAAAGAACAUUUCCUGCGCUUUUUAUUUGUCUGCAUUGAUUGGGCACUUGCUGAGUGGCACACACUCUUCUGGGCUUUUGCAUUGCAUUAUCUUGUUUAUUUGUACAUUAAUAGUGCCUGCAGCGUAAGGACUGUCAUUGUCCCUGCUUGAUAGACGAGGCAGCUGAGUGUCGGAAGGUAAUAACUUACCCUAAGUUGCAUUGUUAGUGAGGAUGAAAGCCACAUACUUGGACCCAGAUCAGUCUAGCUUAGUUUCUUGCUGCUCAGAACUGUGCUAGGCCCUGGCUGCAUAUGAGUCCUGUCCGAGUUGGGAUCACUCACAGGAACAACACCAAGGGAGGCUGGGGCAUCUUCCUGGGUUAAUCAUUACCGCUUCACUAGCUGCCAACCGACAAGAUGCAAGGCCAAGGAAGUGCGUGGUGCAGGUCCUCCCCCGCCCCGCCCCUCCGGCCAGCAAGCCACACCAUCCACUGGGGCCUACGAGUGCGCCAGGUCCGCCAAGUUCCUUUCCCUGCGCGGCCCACGACUGGAGCCCAUGAGGGACACCCUGGUGGGGACAACAGGAGGACGCUGUGCCUGGGAACUGGUCAAAGGGGACCUCGAUCUGCAAAGAAGCUCUGGCCACUCACUGCUGGUGAAAGCACACAGCAGGAGAGUUGGGUGCGUAGACAUAUUUCCACCCCCAAAAGUGUUCCUAAGUGAGAACAUCAGUGGCUGUCACUUUUUUUAAACCAGGUGAGACUGUAGGGCACUCUGCGGUUGGGCUGGAAGCCCAGACCAUAGCCAUCCUGAGGGUGGGCACUCAAUUUCCCUAGAGGAGGCCUGGCACAAAGCAAAGGGGGCAGCAGGUGGGAGGUAUGGGAAAGUGUGGGACUUGGGAUGGACUCAGACUCCAGCUCUGCCUCAUCCUGUUACAUGCUUUGGGGCCUGAGCCCACUCCUGUUUGGACAUGGUCGUUCCUCCCCGCCUAGGACGACGUUAGCAGGGGUGUAUGUUGAAUAUGGGAGCAGAGGUGCUAAUGGGAUGCCCAGCCAAGGAGAGGGUUGGCAGACAUCUUUCCUUUGCUCUCUGUGCACAGCAGCAGUGAUUGAGGGGUGGACUGAGCAUGGGCAUGCUUGUUCUGCACAUGCAGGGGGAUGGGCUGAUAUGCCCAAUGGUCCAGGGAGAUCCCUGAACACAUGUGCUAGGUAUAGGUCCCAGACUUGAGGAGCUCCUGUGCCAGCGACAAUCUUACCUGCCAUGAGUCCUCAGCUUCCUCCUGUCCCCUGUAAAUUCUACUGGAAGUUCGGGGGGCUUGAGCACUGGGGCAUAGCCUCUCCACCUGCCUGGCACAGGCUUCUCCAGCCCCUGGGAUCUUUGUGCCAAGCCUGACCCCUGGUCCAUAGCAGACGGGGGCAUUGCUUGAAGGGUAGGGGAGAAAAAACUCUGCUUCCCUCUCUCUGUUGCCACUGCUCGGCUGCUCUGGUUUAUUUAUCUCUGUCUGUUUGUGGGACAUUUCUCCUGCUUUAGUUAAGACUCCAGCUGCAUUAAUCAGUACCCUUAACACUCUUAUCUCGUCCUUUCUGGGUUUACUGAAGCAUAGUGCCCAUGCAUCUUCUUCCUGGAAAGUUAACUUUAAUUCUGGAGAGAUUUUAGGUGCUUAACUUUGCAACUGCAAAGUCAGGAGAGGCUGGCAUUGUGAAGGAGUGAGGAGUCAGGGAGAAGCAGGACAUGCACCAGGGCUUGGUUUUGGAUGAGUCAUUGUUCUGUGGCAAAAUUAGAGAUGCUGCUUUGCAUUUAUCUCUAUAUGUACGUAACAUCACAGCGAUUGAUUGAUGUUAACUUUGAAGUUAUCUUUUGUUGUUCGUCUUGGAUUUAGAGUUAUAAUCAGUUUCACUAUUAUUAUAAUUCCUUAGAAAAGUCAGCCAAGUGAGCUGAAUUUCCAGCCAAAUUGUAAUGCCUUCGCUUUUCUCCCUUCUUCCUAUCUGCUCACCAGCCUCUUGCCCCAGCCUCCUGCCAUUGGACCAUUCCAGUGACCUGAGCUCCCUAUUUCCCUCCAGACCUCACCUCUUCAGGCUGGUUUCCCUACAGGUGACCAGAGUGACUGAUGGAAAACUUAAAUAAUGUUGUUUUGUUCCCUGUGAUUCCAUGGCUACCCACUACACACAAAAUAAACUCCAUCCCCCCAUCAUGGCCAGGAAAGCCAUUGUCAUCUGGACCAUGCCUGCCUCCUGAUGUCUUCAUCAUGCCCUUGUGUCCUCAACUGUGGGCAGCUGGGACUACUUCCUGUUCGCCUGGCUCCGGAGCAUGCUUUCCUAUGAUGCUUCUUUCUCCUUUCCCAUUGAAUGCUCCCUCAGCUGAGGCUUCAUGUACGAUCUUUUUCUUUCAUAUAGUAAAACUGCCUACUUUUAAGUGGCCCUAGUUAUUACCCUUCUCAUCCAUGACUUCAGAGACCCAUCUGCUUGAACUUUUACUGAAUACCUGGUUCCUGGUACAGCAUCAAACAUUGGGACCACUAGAUAUUUGCCAAAAGAAGGAAUGACACAGUUCUUGAGCAGGGUCUUCUGAAAAGAAACUUGAAGUUAUUCAGAGGCUUCCUUCCCACCUACCUAAGCCAGCAACAGCUCUUCUCUCCCUCUGACUGUCGGGAUGCCCUGCCAAGGACACUGUAGUUAUACCUAUUAUGUUACAGGGUGCUGUGUUCCUCACAUCCUCUAUGUGAGCCCGGUCUGGUUAACAAGAGCUCUGACCCUGGGCCCCUCUGUGGCUGUGGAAGAACACAACUCAUUUGCCUGGCACAGCAGGCACAACCCCAACUUUAGAAAGCACUGGAAGCCAGUGUGUUGACAGUGACUAUAACUGCUUUCCCAGAAGACUUUUUUCCUUACCCAGGGCAUUCUCAGAUGUAUGUUGUCACAUCUCUGCUAAAAACGACCAUGGUAGGUCUAUAGAGGCGUUGGUUCACGCUGCCCUAUUCGCCAUGAGACAGUUUUUUUGCUGUGCUGCUUAUUGUCCUCUUGUGUCCCGUUAGGAUGAGUAGCUGGAGAAAAGGUCCCAAGUGCAUAGUUAUGGAACAGCUGGAGAGAAAAUGCCAGCCUGUUUUCUUUUCUCAUGUAACUGGGAACUUGUCUUUUGGAAUUUCUUAGCUAUGUGACCAUAGCUCUGUCGGUUUUUCCAGUUAACUUUUGUUCAUUUGAUAAUUAGAUGUAAAUUUCUCCCUUACCUCAACUCUAAGACUUGGUGUACUGAAAGCUGCAUUCAGAGAAAACAACUUAAAGACAUCAUUGAAAUGCACAUGGUAAAGGAAAAGACAGGUUCAUCUUGUACAGUGUCCUCUAGACCAGGCUUGGUCAUUAACUUAAGGCCCUGGGCCACUGCCACAUCUGUCACAGGACAUUCCUGCCACUAGCUGAUUUCCCUGCAAGACCAAGUUAUUCCCAAGAACUGGAGAAGCAGGACAGAAUGUUAUUUAAAGUGGAUUGUGAGCAUUCUCAGAGCCAUCUCGCACUAUUUUGAUAAGCUAAAUAGAUUAGAUAUUUGAAAUUCCUAGUGUGUAUGUUCAUAAGUGUUGAUGUUCAUGUCACCAAAGUUCAGCCAUUCUUAUUCUAUAUUUGUAGUUUUACCCAUAUUUCUCUGCCACUUGUGUUACUUACUUAUUUACUAGUUUUCUUCAACUUAACUACAUACUUCAACUAAGUUUAUAUGAAGAGGACACUCUGUAUUUUAACUGUAGAAUGCAAAGGUAGCAUUAUUGGGCAUAAUACAAGGUAAUCAUAAAAAUACAUAGUUAUAAAAAUAUAAUGUCCACCAAGGUAGAGUCUAGAAUAUUAUAGAAUAUACCACCAGUGGUUCAUCUGUCACACUUUGUGAAACAUAGAUAUUUAAAGUAAGAUUUUUUUCUUUUUUGCAGUGCUGGAUUUUGAAUCCAGGGCUCAGAUAUGCUAAGUACAUUGUUUACCACUGGACUAUAUCCUCAGAUCAUAAAUAUUACUCUUAUUGACCAGAAAGAAAGACACAGGGAACAGGGAAUAGGAGGCACUACUGAAGUUCUUAGGGUUGUCAGAAAAUUUUGAUUUAACACUCAGAGGUGAAUUUACCUCUUCAGGUUGAUUAGAAAAUGUGGUGGGAAUUUGUCUUGUGGGCAGAUCUGCUUUUGUCCUUUCAUCUUGCCAUGGAACAUAUGUUGGCAGUUACUUCUUUUCCUAGCAUAAGAUUUUGUAGGUGCUGUGAGCCCUCCUUGGUUCUGGGCAUGGCUGGAUAAUACACUCUCACUGGUCAGUUCUGCAGACUGUAAUGGCUGGGAGACAUGUUCUGAGAAGGUGCUAUUUAGGUCGAGUUGGCCCCAGAGAUGAAAAUAAAUCUGAAUCCCUGAUACCGUGGUCUAUUGGGCAGUUCCUAAAAUCAGACCUAAGCACUGAAGUGCGUAUAGCUUAGGUGAUACAUCGUUGCUGAGCUUAAAGAACUAAAGGGAAAUUGGGGAUUAAUCAGUAGGGGUCAAGGAACUAGGAACUCAAGCAGAAAGGAAUUCAAUAUGGGGGAUUGGAUACUUAGAGAAUUUCUGGAAGAACAGAAAUUAAGAGGGUACGGUUAGAUUCUUGGCUUCAAGGCCAAACCGCCUUAGUUGAGCACCUAUAGGUCUCAGUUAUAGUGUUCGUGGAGUUAAGGCCGAGAUCUAUGCAGCAAAAAUCCUAGGUACAGGGUAACAAGGAAGCAGUACCAGUGAGAUCACGGGAAGGAGGGGAAAGUUUAGCUUGACCUGGGCCUUGUUGAAGUCUGGAAGAGAAUAUGGUCUGCAAGUUCUUGGUCAGGGAAGGUUGGAGAUGGAGCUGGGUAAUGCUACCACCUAUGGGCUGCCACGAGGGCUUGAAAGUCUCCAGCUUCCCCUUUCUCAAAAAUUAACUUGGCGCCUGGCAUUGUACUGACAAUGUGUUACAUGCAGCAUUUCAGUUCUUCUUCAAAAUGUCACUUCUCUUCAUCAUACUCUCAGUGUGUCUAAAUAACCCACUCAUUGAUAUUAGACAGCUGAGCCAUGGGACAAAAUUUAGGCAAGGCUGACCCAGAAUCCAGCAUGCUGCAUUGAGAAGCUAUACUGCCUCUUCAUGGUGGGAAGGGACGGUGAAGGUGAGACUGAGGGACAGAUAUUGUGAGUCCUGAAGAUCAGGCCAAGGAUUUGAGCUUGACCUCAGAUGAGAAGGUGGGGGUUGUCACUGGAGGUUGAGGGCAAGACAGUGACAUAAUGGAGAUGCACAUGCCAGUGGAUCUAGCAGAAGGAUGUGGGCUUGAUGGGCACAAGUAAAGGGCAGAGACCAGAGAGCUGCCAAGAGACAAGAGCAGUCGUGGAGCAUUUUCUUCACCCAGGUUUUUCCCCUCCUUCUUCAGUGGUUUUUCAGAGCAUGAACUUUUUCCCAACCAUGCCUGGAUCUCAGGUGGCUUUAGGUUUUCACUUUGGCCAGUGAAGCCAAAGUGUUUUUCCUUUACUCACUAAUAGCUUUCAUCUUUGACCAUGGCCCAGGGUCAACAUUCAACCACCAUUUGUUCUCGUUGUUUCUUUUUUGUGUUGAUGUUGAAUGCCUCGACAGUGGCACAGAUGACCUGUCUUUCUACUUGGUUGACUGUGCUCAUGGCAGUGACUGGGAAUGGUCCAGCCCACGUGGACACAGACAAUGAGAUGUGGGGCUUUGGGCUGAAAGGAGCCAGUUCUAGGUCCGCACAUGAAUUUCUGAAUUCAGAAACUUGUGCCUUGAAUCUCUCUAUUCUGCCCCUUUGUGUGUGCGUGUGGAGGGGCUUAUAGGUCUUGAGGACCUCAGUUACCUUGCCUGAACAUCAGUCUUCCCUUCUGUAUUGUUGAGACAAUAAUAUUCCUCAUCAGGCUAUCACAGGAACUCAGUGAAGUCGUAAGUACAGUGUUUAUCAUGGUGGACAUGCCUACGGGAGGAGUGCUGGAAACAUUUUUCACCUUCCCUCUAUGGCCUUUUGGGGUCUGUGGGAGGUGGUUCUGACCAGUAGAAGUCCAUUGUUGUGAGCCUCGUCCUACUCAGUCCCAAGGCUUAUUUCUAGUGGUCCUGGUCUUAUCUCCUCUUUCUGGUGCCUGGCCAAGGUCUCAGCAGAGACUGACACACAUUUUGACCUAGAAGAAGGACUAAUGAGCCAGCUCCAUCUCAGUUGUCUCCCAGUGAAUCAAAGUCCAUGCCAAGCACCAGCUGAUAGUUCAUCUGGCAGAUACAGUGAACUUGCUAAGUCCUCCUCAUUCAAAUGUCUGUGUAGUUUCUGUAAUUGGCUCAAGUGUGUCCCCUACCAACCCUGCCUGAGCAGCACCUGAACAUGAACUCCUCGACCAUCACGGCAUCUCUGCCACUGCGAAGAGCUUGAAGCUUUUGCAGGUUUCCAAGCAUCUGACCCAUAUGAUUCCAAUGACGUUUGGGAAUUUUAAUCUUCUGGUUAUGGGUUUCCUAGUUUGAAAUUGUUACUGCCAUCCUCCUCUGCUGUGGGAAAAUGGCUUUGAAAAUAUGUGGAGGAGUAGUUUGGGAGGAGUGUGAAUGACAAGAAGGGACACUUCUGGGUCGCUGGAAGGGAGCUCUCACACUUGUUUCUGCCUGUGACUGAAGCACUGCUUUAGUGUGACUAACUGCUUCAGAAACAAUGUUGGGGUUGUGGGGGGGCUUGAAAUUAACACUGUGCUAAACUUUAUGUUGAGUGUUUACCUGGGUGUGUCACAGCUCCCUUCACAUGAAUCCCACUGUCCAGACAGAUAAAAACCAAGGGUCAGCUAUGGUAAGUAAUUUGUCUCAUGUUCCAAAGUGAUUGGUUGGUGGGGGGGAUUAUUAAAUCUAGGUUGAACUGACUUCAAAUCUUCAGUUUUCCCACCUUAUAGGACUCUAUCCUAUUAACCUGUGGAUUCUUGAGUGCAAACUCCUCAAAUUCAUGGCUCUGCAAUGCUAGAACUAAAUUGGCUGGUGAUCUUUGAACCCAAGAGGGGGAACGACAGCCAGUGGGGGCAUCAGACUCUGGAUCCUGCAGGACUUCAACAAGGUCUCAGCCAGUGUGACUUCGUCCUGAAGGAAAGUGAAUGAAAUGUGAAGUUUCAGCAGGGCAGUGGUGGAAAGCCACAUCAGCAGUGAAGGCCGGCCCUGUGACAAUAUGCCAGUCACUCUCCCUUUCCUGUUGGUUGGUCAACACAUUCUUCUGCCUGUGUGAAUUCUCGGAAGACCUUGAUUUGGGGCUCCCAGGAUAGAUCAUUCUCAUGGCAUGUAAAGAAGAGUGAAAGGGGAUUCCAGAUUCUAGUCACUGAGUUAGUCCUACUAAUAUUGAGACAAUCAUCUCCCUGUUGUCAAAACUCUGCUAAGAAGCAAAAGCCCCGGAUGAGCAGUGUGAAUGACCUAGUAGGUCUUCUUUUGGGCAUGUAGUUGCCAUUUGCAAUCAGUUAUCAGUUACAAGGACUCUGGGUACACCUGGGUGCCAGGCCGCAGCUGGCCAGGUUGCCUGCUGUACUGGCACAGGAGGAGAGGCAUGCUGCUUCAGGGACUCAUGGAACCCCUCCCUCACCCCAGUUUGAGAAAUUCUUUCUCCUGCCUCUGCCAGUACAGACCAACAUUGGCACAUUUUUCCCGCUGAGCUUGUGCAAACUGUUAAGAGACCGGGGUCCCAGAGGCACUAAUAGUGGCCACAGCAGCUGGGUAGGUGCCUUCUGAGCCCAGACUUUCCUUUCUUGAUUCCCCCUCCCUUAUUCCUUAUAUGUCAGCAGGUCCACCAGUGCCCUGAGAAGCCCUACGUUGUGUACUUGAGGGACUUUCAGCAGUCAUUAGUAGGGAGCCAAAACACAGGAGCUUUUACACGAGUAACUUUUUUUUAGGUAAAAGCCCUGGGCCCUGCAGAGAAAAUUCUGCUUCGACUAAAUUGCUUUACUCUGAAAAUUCAGGCCCUGAACUGAUCGUAAACUAAAUUACCCUGAAAUGUAAGCUGAGACUCUGGUUGGCCAGCUUGGUUGGCAAUUCUUUGUCUUUCUAAAGAGAGAGAAAAAAGAAAGGACGUACCUCUAUCCGUAGGUGUGUGUGUCUGUACGUGUACACCUGUGUUUUCCUUGCACCAAGAUUGCAGAGUAAGAGUGCCUGGGAUGAAGCCAGGUCCCUGGUACCUGCGAUCCCAGGCUGGUCUCUAGUCUUGGGUGAUUUUUUUAUGCUCCCAGAUUCGGAAGAUUUCCACAACAGGGAGACAAAGUGAGGCCGGAUGAACCCUGGGGUCUCACCUCGGACCCAAAUGUGUGCUUUAAUUCGUGUCAGAUAAGUUUCCCCCAUGGGAUUACAGAUUGGGAAUUUCAGAAGCACAACAGAUAACUUUAUUUCUGCAGGGAGGUUUUAUUUUUAACCCCUGAAGUAACUGUAUAGUUUAUUUUUCCUUAUCCGAUUGCGAUCUCCCCAGUUGCUGACAGUUCGCCUUUGAAAUGAACGGCUUUGAUCAGGGAUGUGGCGGCCAGACAGGUCAUUUUUACUGUCUUGUAACUUAGUCCAACCAGUUUGGCAAGAGCAAGGCCACAUCCCAGGGUAGGGAGUGGAAAUUGUGGAUGUAGAGUUCGGCUUAGUUAACGAAGCCUCAGCCCCUGGCGGUACCCUCCCUUCCCUGCACCCAGGGGUCCUGGCAAAGCAGCUUUCUUUGCCAGCCCUUCUCUAGGGCCAUAGAGGUGAGCCUACUGUUCUCACCUCCCACACCCCUCGCUUUGCAGACCAGACUUCUGAAUGGUAAAGCUUUGUCUUCACUUGUCCUGGUCCAUUUCUAGGGCCCCGCUUGCCCCAGGAUAGUUCAGGAUCUUCAUCUUUGUCAGGUAGGACAGACAGCCUGUGGUUCUGCCAGUGGAAAUUCAGGUCAGGCAUGUGGACCUUGGUGGCCCUUCAGGUCAUGAGCCAGGGUGACCGUACUGGUGUUUGUGUUGGCACGAUGUGGCUGAACUGGAAUAUGCUGGUCUUCCGGAGGCAUGGUGAGAAAGGACAGCUUCCAGAGGAGUAAGGCUAGUCAGGUUUGAACCCCAGCACCAUCCUUACCAGCUCGGUGAUCUUGGACAAGUUAUGCUGCCUGAGCUUAAAAUGUAAAAUGAAUAAGGUAACAGCCCAGACCCUCCAGGGUUGUGAGGAUUCGAUUAGAAGUUCGUGUAAAGCCUCCGUGUAUGUAUGACAUGCAGCGUGUAUUAAAUAAACACUGAAAUCAC